rnacentral:lncRNA from 1 species
AGAUGUAGAUUAAUUUAUUUCUUUAUUGAUAAAAUUAUGAAAUAAUUAAGUAAUAUUCAUAUUGUGGUGAAAACAACUUCUUGGUUUAGCGAUGAUCUUACUUGUGGAGGGUUGAAAUCUUUUAUGUAUAUACAUGGUGUUAAUAGUAAUUAAAAGGGAGUGUGUAUACCACACGCUGAAGACCAAAAAGUGAUUUGUCAAAUCCUCGAACUCAAUGACGAGCCAAGAGUGGAUUGGUUAUCCACUUUUGUACGGCUUUGAAUGACUUUUUCUAUUUUCUACAUACUCCGCAUCAGUCGUUGUGACAUAUUCGUAGGCAUUUUCCCUUCAUUUACACCAAAUAAUCUAAAGUUCUGAACUGAAUGAAAGAGGAAGCCAACUUGAAUUACAUUUUUUCCAGCAUUUUUUGGUCGAACGAACCAUUUCACUUGGAAUCAUAAUGAGUCGUUGCAAGGAAAUGUGUUAUUUUGAUUAUUACUUUAUUUAUUAUUCUUGUUUGCGGUAUUUUAAUUUGAGAGAGAUAUAAGUCUCAAAGGAAUGUCGGAUUCUGUGCUCACAUGAUGAGCUAUAUAAUAUAUGUUGGUUUUACUUAAGGUUGUUGUAAUUAGUAGUUUUUUUUUUAAAAUAAAAAUACUAGCACAACUCUAAUAAAACAAUGGAUAAAAAUUCCUAAUUAAUUUGAAUUCAUCUCUCAUUUGUUAUUUAAAAAAGAAAAAAAGAAAAAAAAGAUUCAAUAAUGUUCUUAUUGAUAAACAUAGUAUUUAAUAAACAAAGACUAACGACAAUAUGCUUUAAACGUUUUGAUGGUUCAGCUCUACCAACUUCAACGUAAAAUCACAGAUUGAGCACAUAAGUAAUGACCAUCAUUUUCAAAAUUCUCAAAUAUAGUCUAAUUUCUCUAUAAUCAUAAUAUUGAGGUAAGUUAAUUUUAUUAAUAUGAGAAUAUUAUGAUUAACUUAGUAAACAUAUAGUUACAGAAAUUAUCGUUUUCACUUAGUUAUCCUUCGUGCAAUUAAAUUAGAGGUAAAAUAUUUACUAUAUUAAUAAUUAAUUACUAGAUUAUGUCAGAAAUUGGUAUUAAAGGUAGGCUUAAUUGAAAAAAAAAAAUUCUAUACUUUUUUGCAAUAGGCAAAUAAUAUUACUAUGCGGGGACAAAUUCUUUUUAGACAAGACUUAAAAAAAUUAUAACUUAUUAUAAUAUAGAGUAUAUCCUUAUUUAUAACUAACUUAAAUUGAGAUUAAAUCUUUUUUAUAAUUAAAUAAAAAUUAUUUCUAUAUAAAGUAUGACUACAUAGGAGAAAUAUUCUAUUUCUAUAUAAAGUAUAUAUGACUAUAUAGGAGAAAUAUUUUAUUGUAUAUAGCUAUUUCUUUCUCUGUUAUUUCUAUCCACUUCAUGAGCACUGUCUUAGUCUUUUCCCUUUUCUGUAACAAUCUUGGUUUAACUAUGAACUAAAUGUUUUUCUUUUCAAUCAUUAAUUAAUAUUAGGUAGGUAGAUCUACCAAAACGGUUGCACCUAAUUACCCACUAUAAAAUUUUAGUCUCAAUCCCCCAUGGAAAAGUGUGCAUGCCUAUAUAUAAUCGGACUUUAUUAUCAGUGUUAUGGAUAAAGGAAUUAUUAAUUUAAAAUUAAUAAUUAUUUUAAUCAAUUUGGCAAUAUAUAUCUUAUCCUUGAUUAAUUUAUAUGAAUGAAUAUCAAGUGUAAUCGUAAAAUAUUAUUUGUGUUGCACAUGACAUGCGGACAAAAGAAUACAAAGAUUCCUUAAAAAAGAUUAAAAAAAAAGAAAGUAAAAUAGAAAGUUGAAUUUAACAAGAUUCAUGUACAGGAAGAAAAGGAAUUAAUAAAGUGAUAAAAAAAAUUGGUAAUCGUGGCAAGUAAUCUUAUUCAUGUACGAGGCGGCACGACCCAAGACUUGGAAAUUAAAUAAUGAAACUUCUUUGCAAACUAUUUUAUCAUUUUAUGCAUGGAAUUCCACGUGCAUGCAUGCAUGUUCUCCACGCUUGGAAAUUUUGCAAAUGGCUUCUCCCUUUAAUCUUUGAAAAUGUCCUCUAACAAGUGUCUCAAUUAUUGGAUAACAUGUGCAGUCCUUGUAAUUCAUUAAUAACACGUCCCUCAACAAUCUAUAAUACAUCAAACUACCAAAUUGGCCAACAAAUAGAUGAUACUUAUGUUUUGAAAAACUAUCAUGUAAUUGAUGAUUAUAUCAAAUUUAACUAUAUGUAUUAUAUAUAUAUUAGUUGAUUGUAUUGGUUUUGAUGUAUUGUAAAAUUUUUGAUUUUAUGGCCAUAUAAUAUAGAUAAUCAAGGUUUAAGUUUAUUCACAAUUUUAUGGUAUUAUUCUUAUUUUAAGAUAUUUUAAAAUUUAUUUAAUUAUUCAUCUUUAUUAUAAAUUAAAUAAAUUAUAUAAAUAGAAAUUGAAAUAAAAAAAUUUAAAUAUUAGAAAUAAGAAAUAUAAUUUUCGGUGUUGAUAAAAAAGUAGUAUGAAUAUAGUUUUCUUAAUUUUUUUUAUCUUUAAACAUAUUUUCUUAUGGUAAAUAUAUAUUUUGUAUUUUUAAAAUAAAAUAUUAAGUAAAUGACCAAUUUACUUUUAUUUUUUUUUAUACGAAGAGAUUAUUAACUAUUAUGAAAAUAAUAUACGAAUAAAUAUUUUACAUAAAUUUCGACGGGGAGAAACUAUCAAUACCCUUAAACGAUUGAACCUUCAGUAUCUUAGUAGUUGACUGUGAAUGCCAUUUUAUUCCACCCCAUUGCAAUUGUUGCUUGUUUUCCACGGAUAUCUUGAUUACGUUUGCAAGCUUAUGUUAUAAGGGCUUCGUCAUUGCCAUUAUUACGAAAUUAAAUAGACUACGAUUGUUGACCUAAUUUCAAAAUUCCUCCAUUGUUUAUUAUUUUUCCCUUUUUAAUUUAUCAAUAUCAGCCAUAUCAAGUCAUUCUUUUAAUCAAAAACCUUGGGGAAGACGAAAUAUUAACUUACUGUCUUUUUCAACAACUUUUUAGGUGAGAUUAGUUUAAUAAAUUACAUGAUAAAUAAUACUCUUGCUUGAGUCUAUAUAUAUAUAAUUAUAUAUGAUAUAAAAUUAAGAUUCUUUUUUUUGUCGUAAUACAUAGAAUUAUUCAACCUAUUAUUAUAACAAAAUAAUUAAAUUUAUGAGUUGAAGUUGUCAGAAAAAUAAACUUAUUUCCAAUGAAUGGCAUUUGGAGGAACAAAAUAUAAUGAGAAAUUGAAUUCUUCAAUACCUUGCUGUUUCUUCAUAUUUCUUUACAAAUUUACCGAUUCUUUACUCUAAAUUCUAGUAUUUGUCUUCAUGUCCAAAUAUGGUGAGAAAUUGAAUUCUUCAAAACCUUUCUGUUUCUUCAUAUUUCAUUAUAAAUUUAAAUUCUAAUCAGUUGAUAAAUACAAAGAUGAGAAAUGGUGAUGCCACAUCACCUCCUCAAGUCUCAGCUUUAUAUAUAUGAGUAAUGAUAUAGCCACAAACUCUUGUACAAACUUAUUUUGUACAAACUGAUGUGGCAUGAUAAGAUUGGUUGAAUUAAAUAUCACUUGGCCCACAUGAUUUGUUUUUAUUAUUUUAUAUUUUCAUUUAACUAAUGAAUUAAUGCCACGUCAGUUUGUACAAAAUAAAUUUGUACAAGAGUUUGUGGCUGUAUCAUUACUCUUAUAUAUAUAUAUAUAUAUAUAUAUAUAUAUAUAUAUAUACAGAUUAGGUGGACCUAAAUGUUCCAAAUACAUUAAAACAAUCGAUCAUCUACAUUAUUCUAUAUUUUGAGGAGAGAAAAAAAAAAGACAAAAUCUUUUAGACCAUCUACAUUAUUCUACAUUAAUCUUUUUUUUUCCUUAUGAAAAAGCAAUUAAAUUAAUAAGUAUAAAUUUCUUUACAUUUUCGCCGGAGAAUCAGAGUCAAAUUCAAAUACAACGACUCAAGCGCAAAAGCUUAUAAAUAGAGGAGAGCAAAAAUAAAGCCCCCCGCUCCAGUUCUCUCUUCUGUCAGAGGCUACGGAUUUGAGAGAUUAAAGAACAUCAAUCGAACAGUAAGACUCCGUACUCUGUGACUCAAAGUUGCAAAAACUUUUAGGUAAAUUUUUUUGGAUUAAUUUUUUAAUUUUCGAGAAUAAACAGAGAGAGAGAGAAAAGAGAUGGGAUUAUGUCUGUCUGGGAGUGAUGUGAGGGGAGGGAAACAAGCCAUAGGUGGGGCCCAUCUCCGGCCCACCAGCACGGCUGAUCAGAACAAUGUCUCUGGUCAAAACGACGCCGUUGAUUUCUUCUUCAAAUCUCGCGGCCUUCAUGCCCUUUUCACCCAAAUCGAGGUAUAUGUGUGUACCUGAAUUAUAUGAGUCUUUCACUGCCACUAUUUAUAAACUAUUUUCAGUUAAUUAAUUAAUUAAAAAUUUAUGAUUAGUUUAUAUUUUUUAUUUAUUUUAAUUUUUUAAAUCUGACUUCGUUAUUGUGAUGGAUUCUCAAAUGGUCACUCGUUUGAAAAUUUAUUCCCAAAUUAUGUUUAUUAUUAUUACUUAUUUGAUGACUUGUCAGUGUAACAUCGAACAACUUAAAUCGUCUAUAUUUAAUAAAAGUUAUUUGAUAAUUCGAAUACAAAUAGAGAGUAUAGAUUCCUAUUCAAGAAUCAACCGCAAUCCCAAACAUGCCUUUUUUUAAAUAAUGUAAGAGGAGUAUUUGGAAUUUUGGAGGGCGAAUAUUUUACUUCGUGCUCCUUCAAAGGACAAAGGAGUUAAGCAUCUCCUCAAAAGAAUAUGCCUAUCGGGUGCUUCUUUGAGAAGCAUUUUUUUUUUCUUUCUUUUUUUUGAAUUUGUUCUGGUGGCUGAUCUUUUGCUGGUGUUGGUUCGACGGUUUCAUAUGGAGAACAGUAAGUUUAACUGCUUAUACCCAAUGACAACAUUCUGUGGAGUGAAUUUUAGAUUAAGAUUGGAUAAGGUAAAUAAAAAAAGAAUGGUGUUGAAUGCACAAAGGCCUUGUGAACGUUGAGAAAGUUGAUGUUUGAUCCUGUUGAAUGCACAGUGGUUUUCCUGUGUAUCCUCAAAGUUGACUGUUCUGUUAUGCCUCAUUUAUCAAAUUUGAUUCAUACCCCAGUGAUCAAAUUUGACUUAUACCCCUUGUGAAGAUUCCCCAUGAUAAUGCUCCCCUGAUUGGAACAUGAUUUUGUGAAUGCUGGUUUGCAUAAGACAAACCAUUAACUUUAUACAAAAUUGUGGAACUUUAUAAAAAAUCGUGGAUUAAGGAUUAUGUUGUUACGAGGAUAAGAAUGUCUUUCCAUAACAUGGACCACCAAGUGAUUGUAAUAUUCCUGUAUUGAUGUGGACCUUAUCUGAGGAUCUUCUUGGAAACUUUCCUGGAGAAAAGGCAACAAGUCAUAUGAUAACAAAUUAAAUGUGGUUCAAUGCUUGUAAUUGACGUGUCACAUCCUGUUGUUAUAUAAAACUUAAUUACAUAUAUUAUUGCUUGCUGCUUAUAAGAUUUAAUAUUAGAAGUGGCUCUGUCAGAAUCUGAAAUGAUGGUUUUCUGCAUGUUCUGUUUAUGACAGAUAUAUAUUGCCUGUCAGUUGACCCACAUCGUACUGACAAUUUUCAUUUCGUGCAGCAUAUGCAUGGAUUACUCCUUUUCCGCUUUUUCAUGUAUCUGUAUUCGUUCUUAUGUUUUUGAAUAUAUAUUGCAGUUAUCUUUAUCUGCUUCAAAGUUACGUGAUCUUGACAUCGCAUCAAAGGUACGCCUUCAUAUUAUUGUUGUCUUAUGUCUAAUAAUGCCAUGUUCGUGCUGUUGAUAGUCUUGUUGAUUGAUUCUCAUGUUAUCUUGUAUCCUCCUUAUAUGAUCUGCUUAUUUGUUCAUAAUGGCCCUGUCAAUAUCCUUUCUCUGUUCAUGAAGGGUCUAGGGAUAUAUGAUCUGAAUAACACUUAGUGCUGGCACCAAAAUUCUAAACUUGGACAAAGAAGAAUAGUUUGUUAUAUACACUGUCUAUCUCCAAUGUAAUCCAGUAAGGAGCAGUAACUUGAGAGUUCCAGAUAAUGUAUAACAAGUCAUGGUUGGUGGUUUUAUUGUUUUUGCAAUUUUGUGCACUAGUCAAAUAUGUUAUAUGUGCAAGAUAAAAUUUUUUGAUAAUGAACAUUUAUCAGCGGUAUAUCUUUUUACUAGCUGAUACUAGCAUACAUCAAAUGCUGCUGUAUUUUAAUGAUGGAUUACUAACUAUAGUUAUUUAACUAAUAUAUGUCUAUAUUUAUACUCACAAGCAAAUGUAUUUACAUGUCUUUUUGUGUCAUAGAGUGAUCCCAUGGCAGUUGUGUAUGCAAAGAAAAGAGAUGGGAGGCUGGAGGAGAUUGGACGUACAGAGGUGAUUAUGAACAAUCUGAAUCCUGCUUGGAUUGGAAAGAUUUCAAUUGCUUUUCAGUUUGAGAUCGUCCAGCCCUUGCUGUAAGUUUUUACUGUGUUCUUUUUAAAGUUUGUUUUUUCUUUCCCCUUGAUAGGUCAUUUGCUUAUCAUUUCUCAUAAGCCUUGCUUGAUUUGAUAAUAUUUAAUGUUUUCGAAUUCCUUAAUGCUUUUCUUCUUUUUCCAGCUUUCGUGUGUAUGAUGUGGAUACCAAGUACCACAAUAUUCCAGUGAAGGUAUAUAAAAAUUUCUUAAUUAUUUUUUUUUUUCGCUCAAUUCAGAUGGAAAUGAUAUGCACUACUUCAGUUCCAAAGUUUAGAGUUAGCCAAGGCAUUUGACUGAUCCAUUUGUUGUCUAAUCACAUGUCUCAACUAAAUUGCAUCAGCAAUAGUUUCUAUCAAUUUCGGGAAAUUUGUGAAUACUUGAUUGAUUAUAAACUAACACUUAGCAUGGCAAGAAACUUAAAAAGUUGGCUGUCAUAUAUCAUAAACAAAUCUUAAGGCCAGGAUAGUUAUUAUGGAACUUUCUAUUAUUGCAUCUUGCAAGGUUUGACAUAUUUGUCCUGCUACCAUGACUGGGAAAGAACAAUUUUUCUGAUGGUCCUUACGGCUAAAUUUUCUUUUUUCCAAAAUGGAAUUUUGAUCUAUGUUGUUAAAAACAAUACAGUUAAAUAGUUGUUGCCAUGACCUAAAGAAGUUUCUGUAAAAAAUGACCAUAUUGUAAGUAUUGGAAUGGAUAAGUAAAUCUUUAGAGCCUAUGAUGUAUUCGUCUGUGGAAUUUGAGUCAAAGUGAAAAAAUUUUGAUGGUUAUAAUCCUAGAAACUGUAAUCAUUUGGAAGCAUUUGCUGAAAACAGUUAGAUAAUCUAAAAAUGUGAUGAUUAUUUAUGUCAAUUGUAAUUGGUAUUAACAUUAAUGGGAAAAAUGAUAAAUAUGUAAAUUUAUGCUAGUGGAAAGAGAAAAUGAACAAAUCCAGACGGAUUCUAAGACAUUAAGUGGGGAAUCUAGUGUUCUUUUGAUUCUUUGCUGCAGUGAUCCCUAAUUACUUUCAAGAUAUUAUUAUCUCAUGACAAAAUAGUUGUUGAAGCGUGAAGUUUAAAGUUCAAACUUCUUAUUUACAUUGCCCUGCAGAUGCUAAAGUUGGAGGAUCAAGACUUCCUGGGAGAAGCUAGCUGUGUUCUCUCUGAGGUAAGCUUCUGGGUUAUAUUUUGUUUGAUGAAUUUAUGUAUUUUCUCUUUAUUCAAUGGGCAAAAUAUGCCCAUCUAAUUUUCUGUAAAACUCUGUUUCCUAUAAAAAAAGGGCAAAAUAUUCUCAGAUGCUUUUUACUAGCAUUCGUCUUCUUCUUUAGCAUUCUUCUUUUGCACUAACAAGUGUCAUAUUUUCCUUUUAAAUGGCAGAUAGUGACCAAACAAAAUCGAACUUUAACCUUAAAACUCCAUAACAAUUAUGGGCUUCGAGUUUCAAGAAACUUUGGGACACUCUCUGUCCAUGCUGAGGAAACAGUUGCUUCCAAGAGUGCUGUUGAAAUAGCAUUCCGUUGCUCGCAUUUGCAAAAUGUAGACCUGUUUUCCAAAAGUGUAAGUUCUGACAAAGUAGCUAAGUUUGGAGGUUCACUAAUUAAUCUAUUAAUUUAGAUGCUAUUUCUUCUUCUUCUUAUAUUCUAUAGGAUCCAUUCUUAAGAAUAUCUAGAAUUGUUGAGAGUGGAAAUUCUGUUCCUAUCUACAAGACGGAGGUGAUAAACAAUAACUUGAAUCCCAUUUGGAGACCAAUAACUUUGAGCAUGCAGCAAUUUGUGAGCAAGGUAACCUUGUCAUCUUCUUGUGCUUGUUACUUAAAUGUAUAUUAGGUAGUGAAGUUUGGUCAUGGGGAAAUGUUUUUUAGUUUAUGAUUCUCUUUGGUACAGGAAAACCCAUUAAUCAUUGAAUGUUUUGAUUUCAAUACCAGUGGAAAUCACGUACUGAUGGGGUAACUGUUAAAUUUCUUAAUGUCAUCAGCUUCCCUCUUUUAUCCUUUUGCCUUUCUGAUGUCAAAGUUUUCUAUUUCUGUUAUUAGUAAAAUUCAGAAAUCAGUUGGAGACCUGGAGAAACUUCAUCAAGAAAGAACUGGUGCAACUUUUAUGUUACCAUCAACUCAACGUGGCCAUGACAAGGUGUUUAUUCUUUUUUGUUUUAACUCCACCAAAGGUGUUUGUUCAUGCUUACAGUUUUUGAUAAUUUAAUAUCACUUUAUUUUUUAUCUGACUUUUUCCUAGGUUCUGAAAAGUCAGUUGUUUGUUGAAAAGUUUGUUGAGAAAGAGCAAUAUAGUUUUCUGGAUUACAUAUCUAGUGGCUUUGAGUUGAAUUUUAUGGUUGCAGUCGACUUUACAGGUAAUUAGAAAGAGAUUACUUGUUGAAGAUAAAUUUGCCAUAUAAUCUUUUUGUUUUGUUUAUUUCCUCUUAUUUGGUCCAAUUUCAUCUUGUCUCUCAUUAAACGCAAAAUCAUCCAGCUUCAAAUGGAAAUCCUCGAAAUCCAAAUUCUUUGCACUAUAUUGAUCCUUCAGGCAGAUUGAAUUCUUACCAGCAGGUAAGGUUUUGUUAUGACUCGCACUUUGACAAGUGAUCUAUGAACUCUGAAGGUCAUAAAAUGGUCAUUUUGUCCAGUGUUUUCGACUUAUAAAAUGCCUGUGACUUUCAAGUCUUUCUAUGGCCGUCAUAGUGAAAUACAUAUUUCAAUAGUUUGUUGAAGUUGACAGAGAAUAUCACUGAUUAGUUAUUGGCCUCUUAAACCAUUUACAGGCAAUAACGGAAAUUGGGGAGGUCAUACAAUUUUAUGAUUCUGAUAGACGCUUUCCUGCAUGGGGAUUUGGAGGGAAGACAUUUGAUGGCACUGUAUCACAUUGUUUUAACUUGAAUGGAAGAGCAGGUGGCUUUGAGGUAGGGGUAGCUGGAGUUCGCAACUUUGCUAUAAUCCUUAUUUGGUUGGCUUGUCUCCCAUAACUUUUCAUUUUUAAUAACAAACAAUAUAAUACGUUUCUACAUUUUUUUUUUAAAUUUCCUUGGAAUUUUAUCCUAAAAGAUGGGUAUUUUAUCCUCUUCCACUUUUUCAUUAACUGCUGGUUUCUUUAUUUAAUAGGUAGAUGGAGUUGAAGGCAUUAUGGCUGCUUAUGCAAGCGCUCUAAACAAUGUUGCUUUGGCAGGACCGACUCUGUUUGGUCAAGUGAUCAACACAGCUGCACGAAUUGCUGGCCAGUCCCUCUCAUACGACAGAAGCAAGUAUUUCGUCUUACUCAUUAUAACGGUGAUUACAAUGAUUCUAUAUAUUCACAGUUUUCUCUUUCUAUCAUUCUUUUUGGGUGAUUUGUAAAUUUGCUUUGUCUAUCUAGGAUGGAGUUCUGACGGAUCUCCAAGAAACGAAAGAUGCUUUGGUAAGGGCUUCUGAUCUUCCCCUGUCAAUUCUAAUUGUGGGUGUGGGAGGUGCAGAUUUUACACAAAUGGAGGUACACAAUGUUUUCUAACUGGAAUAUCUUCUUACUAGCAUCGAACUUCUUUUUUCUAUAGUUUGAUAGAUUCAAUUUAGAGUAUAUAUGCAGUGUGGUAUUAUCCCACUUUUGUUGCAGAUUCUUGAUGCUGAUAACUUUGUUGGCAGAUUCUUGAUGCUGAUAAUGGCCGUAGAUUAGAGAGCUCUACUGAUCGGGUAGCUACCAGAGAUAUAGUACAAUUUGUUCCAAUGCGAGAAGUUCAUAGUGAGUGCAUAUGAUUCUUUGACAAAAUUAGUUCAAAAUAUUGAAUUUGGGAGUUAAUUCACAAAAGUUUCUGAAUUUUUUCAUGCCUUAACAAACGAACACAUUGUUUUCUGAACAGGUGGGCAAAUUUCUGUUGUACAAGCACUUUUGGAGGAGCUACCUGGUCAGUUUCUGACCUACAUGCGCUGCAGAGAUAUCAAACCACUCAAUGUUCAGAUGGCCCAAACAUGCGCUUGAGUAAAUAUUCAUAUGUUUGGAAAGGAUACAAAACCAAGCCAAACAUAUUAGACAAAACCAAGCCAAACAUAUUAGGCUAUACAGACAUAACAUAGCAAAAAUUGAUAAUGGUACAUUACAUAUGUUAGGAUAUAGUGGUUUUAGAUGAUGGUAAAUUACAUAUGUUAAGAUAUAGUGGUUUAUAACUAACUUUUGAUGGCUUAAUGAAUUGAUUGAAUUUGUAUUUAGGUUCUAUCAAUGAUCUCAUAUUCUUCCCAUCCAUGUCUUUCGAUUUUUAUUAUUCCCUCUACCCACUUGUUUCACAAUUGUUUGUCUGAUGGCCUAAAACUCCAAUUUCUGUUGCUGUUUUAUCAUCUUUGUUGAAUAUUUACUACAAUGAACAUGUGCUGAAUGUCUACUUUUACUACUACACCAGCAAUCUAACACAUGGCUCACGUGCACACAAGACAAGUCUGAUUCACACAUCUUUAAUUUAGAUUCUUAUAUAGUCUUUCAAGAUGUCUGAAACAGCAUAGAUGAAGGACCCUUCCACCAUUCAACCUGGAAUGAUGUGAGUGAAAGAAAUUUCCGAAAGUGUUGUAUUAUAACUCUUUGAAACUGGGUUUGAGUAAUCAAGAGAAGCCAAAAUGUAGAACAAUAACAACAAAAAAUGAAGGCCCUCUUACCGUCUUAACUUUGAUAGAAAAUACACGAGCUGCAUACCAUGUCUCACAAAUUUCAAUGAAAAUUGGCCUCAUUCCUGAUGCUGCACAGAAGGUUGGCCUGAAUCAUCUUUAUGAUUUUGGACUUCCUGUAAACAACGAACAAAACAAAUUGAAGGUGAAAGCAGGAACAACAGUUUUCAAAUAAAAUGGGAGUGCUUAAUCUAAUUGAACAGUAACUUUUGGGUCUCUGAGUAAUGAAUACGUACCUUUGUUUCAAGAUAUAUCUGUUGUAUGGUAGAAUUAAGGUCGCCCUUCCAAGUCCAAUACUCACCAGACAGCCAGCGUUUCUCUACUUCAUGUAAACUGGGAGUGCUUAAUUCUGUUCCAGAGAAAAUCUUCAUAUUGGGGCAUUUAUCCACACUUAAAUAUGUCAAAGCUGGGAACUUGAAGGCACAGUUGCCAGAGCAGAAGCUUGUAAGUCUUCUUAAACCACAAAGCUCCAAGUCCAUCAACUCGCUGAAAACAAUUUCAUCUUUUGCAGCAUUUCCCUCAUCAUCUGCCACUACUUCUGUUAUCAUGCUGCAGUCAACGAUACUCAUCUCUGUCAGUCGUACCAAACUCUUUGCUGUCGAGGAUGUUAGCACAUUUAUCAAUCCUUUGCAUCUCCACACCUUCAAAGUUGUCAGAUUCUGAAACGAUGUUGAAGGUGGCACUAGAUUAAUCAAAUGGUCACAAUACUCAACUGUUAGAUGAACCAAAUUGUCCAUUUUGGAUUCCUGGAUCAAAAUAUGCUUCAGAUCACAACAAUUGUGUAGAUUCCUUAUGAUUGCCUUCGUCCAAUUUUCUACUCCAUAUGAUGGCUUAACGCCCCCAACAUAUCCUCCUCCCCUUAUUGUGAGUUCUCUUAUGCUGUGAAAUCUCCGAAGGAAAUCAAGUGAUGAAAUAGUAGUUGACUCUUCAAAUAUAACAUCAAGAAAGUUGAGUUUGCAAAACAUGUCCUCUGGAAACUCAGCUGCCAUUGGUAUCUUCUUUCCUUCAAUGGUCAAAUAUUUCAAAUUGGGGAAUACCUAGUUGGAUGCAUGAUAAAUCAGGACCAAAAAGAAAACGUAAUGCCAAUUAUUAAGAGUAAAUUUUAAAUCUUGUACGUACCUCUUUUGUCAAGUCAUGAGCAGUUAAAAGGAAUUCAGGACACCUUAUUACUUCUAAAUUUUCUAAUGUUGGAAAUUCAAUGUGCACAUCUCCUGUGCAGAAGCUUGUGAGCUUUUCGAGAUCUACCAUCUUUAGAAAUUGUAACUGAGGGAACACAACAUUCUUCCUUUCUUGCUGGUCUAUGACUAUUAUCUCUUCCAAAAUAGGGCACUCAUCUAUCUCAAGGUGUUGGAGUCGAAUAAAGCUGUUAACUAUAGAAGAUGAAAACAGACAUCUUAAUUCCCCACAGCCAUAUACAAUCAACCGGGUUAAAGUUUGAAUGCCACAAGACAUGGCCGGAAGUUGGCUUUUCCAAAUCCUCUCCACAUUUACAUUAUACAGCUCCAAGGUCUCCAAGUUUGGUAACCCACCCUGUUCACAAAACUUUCCAACCGUUAAAUGAGGGGAUCAAAGUUAGUAUAUAAGUGCAUUCAGAGUACUUUUUCUUUCAUCCGAGAAUGUAUUUGUUACACCUACGUUACUCGGGAUGAAAAUUUUAAUAUAAUUAUGAAAUAUGUUCGUUAAUCCCUGAUUCACUCUAGCCUAUAUUUCCUAGGAAAGGAGAAUAUAUAAUAAAGCAGCAACAAAAACAGGAAAAAAUCAUAAGAAUAUGACCAUUGGAUCAUUAAUAUCCGACCUUGAGGAAAAAUGUAUUAGGAACGUUGACAUGGUCCUCCAAAAUGAUUUCAUUCGAUCGCAUUUCACUUGUCGAUUCCUUGCAUCUCUGUUUAGAACAUAGUCAUACUCAUUAGAAAUGAAGAAUCUGUUUUUGCACUGGCUGCUUUGAUAUGUUCGAAAUUUAGGAAGAUCAUAUCAUACCUUUGACUCUUUCGGACUGGGGGCUUGACAACCUUCGACCCAGAGAUGCUUCAGUUGGGAAGAAUAAGAGCCCAAUUUGUUAUUAACUAAUUCAAUGAUAUCUUGGUCUGGCAAUCCAGAUAAACAAAGGUCUUCAAUUCGCUGAAGUUGCACGAUAUGCCCACUCUUGAAGCUGAUACAAUUGUCGGUGCCAAGGAGGAGUCUGAAUGUUCUAGAACACGUAGGUGAGGUAUCCUCCCAACACCAACGUCCAAUGCAUAUUCUGUACCUUUCCAGCUUCUCGAAGAACAGCCCCUUCGGCAGAGUGUUGACAUCUGGGAUGCAUAAUUCUAAGGUGGUCAAGUUAGGCAAACGCUUCAACUCUUCAAGGCUUGCAUUCUUGACCCCUGCAGCUUCCACCUCCACCUCCCACUUAUUAAAGCUACGAAUGUAUAAUUCCUCCAAAUGGGAUAAAUUUGAUAAAACAUUUGGGGGAAUAACCUGUAGUCUGUCACAGUCUCUCAAAUCAAGCGACCUUAACCGAGUCAAUUGGCCUAUUUCCACAGGCAACUGCUCAAUAUAAGAACCCCUUAAGCAAAGGAUUUCUAGGUUCUUUAAUUCUCCUAUAACAGCUAUAUCUUGCAAUUCGCUGCAAUACAAACACAAUGUUCGAAGGUUUGUUAGGAGACCAAGUGAUGAAGGCAGUAAUGAUAGAUGCAUAUAAGUCAAGUCUAAAACUCUGACUUGCGUCAACUUCCUGAAAAAAUUGUCUGGAAGUGUGAUUAAUGAAGAUUUCUCAGUCCACAAAUAGAGAAGUUGCAGUUGAGGACUAUCCAAAACUUCAGGAAGAACAUUCAUCUUGCUGUCGUGUAAGACAAUCGAAGUGUAAAACUUAAGCGCACCUUCAUCUAGCCAUUCCCGUGAAUUAACCAGUUCAUAUCUCAUCGUAAGCACAUUUUGUUCUCUGGUUGCAAUUGCUAUGGCAACAUCACGAACAACAUCAUGCAUAGAAAACCAAUGUUCAUUUUUGCUUCCAUGCUCAAGCAACAUACAAGAAGCCUUGAGUUUGUACACCAAUGUAUACACUCGAGCUCGUGCUUCUUCCAUCCUAUUGAUGCCUUGAAACAAACCCAAACCCAUGCCAUACAUUAACACGUCAUUAAUGGACGAUAUGUAGGUGUAGCCUAUUAGCAAAAAGAUCUUCUUGAGCUCCUCUCCUUCUAAUUUGUUGUAACUCAACUCUAUAGCUGAAUAAGCAGCCGGCUGUAUAUCUUUAAAGUUCGUUGAGGAAGGCCUUCUUAACUGUCCCAAAGCGUCCUUCCAUUCAAAUAAUCUCUUAUUUCUCAACGCCCUCGCUACUGUUACAAUGGAAACAGGCAAACCUGCGCAUUCAUUUGCCACAUCCGUUGCCACCCAUUUGAAUUCACUACUAUCGAUAUACUCCCCCGCCAUCUUCUUGAAUAGACUCCAAGCUUCGUCUUCUCUUAGAACGCCAACUGAGAAAUUAUGUCGGCAAUCCAUCUUGCCAGACAAUAUAUCUUCACUUCUUGCCGUCAUCAAUAUUUUACACCCCUUGUGAUUAUCUCCGUGAGGAAUUCCUACAUCCUGCAAAUCAACACUUUCCCAAACAUUAUCUAAAAUUACAAGGAUCUUUUUCUCAUCCUUCAAUCGAUUAUAAAGACUCCUUGCCCUUCCAGAUUCGGUCUCUUCGAAAAAUAUGAGACCUAAUUUAUCAGCGAUUUCUCCUUGAAUCUUUCUUAUGUCGGACAUCAGCUUCCAGUACCCGCCCGGGGGGAGGUUGGUUCCUCCCUUCAUCUACUUGUUCUCCAGGAACCCGACCAAUGCUUCUGUGGGGAUGCACCCCAUUAGGUUGGUCCGCCGGCGGAGGGAUUUCCUCGACUCUACGCCUCCGGAGGCUGGGUUCCGCUCCAACAUCAUCUCUCCCCACGGGGGUUUCACAAUUCCUUCGCCGCUGAUCUCUCAGCUCAUACAGUAUGGUCGCGAGAGUUUCCAUUUGUUUCUCCAUCCGUUCCAAUCGAUCUUGCAUCACCCUCUCCCGGGCUUCAUUUGCAAUUUCUCAAAGAGUGAUUGUCUCCCCAGAUUCGUUAUCCUCCCUCAAAGAGUCCUUCCUUGGCAUAUCCAUAUCUAAUCGUUCGUUGUUUCUUCGGUAACUACUAAUUCGGUGGUAGCUUUUUAUCCAGCUUCCCCACAGACGGCGCCAAAAUGUUGAUGCUGAAAUCUGCUCGCCUUUUGACCGACCAGAUUCUUUCACCAACGUUUAUGUUAUCAACUGUUGCUUGAACCACUGGGGUUGGAAUCGCCCUCCUUUCUCUUUCUAGACCUGCGUUCACCAAAAACGGAUCAGAGAUGCCGGUGGUUUUGUCGGCGUAAACCCUCCGAUGCCUCAGUUAGUACAAGGUAUUUACGGGAAAACAGUGCAAUUUGGACUCAAGAAUGGUCGCUAAUUUAUCCGAAGUUUUGUAAGAAAAUGGUCUGAUUGCAAUUUGGCAGCGUUUUCCCUCUCUCAAUUUUUUCUCCCCUUUCUUCAUCGAUUUCUUUCUCUUUUAUAGCCGCCGUUUGUCCCACGUUUUUCGUUUACCCUUUAUCCCUCUUUUUUCGGGUGGUGGCAGCCCCUCAUGGGGCUCUAACUGUUAUAUUGUGGGCAAACGUGAGAUCUCGCGUGUCCUUCAACGGUUCUGGGAAAAGCGCAACUACCGCGAUUCUGUGGGAUCGUGUUCCCGCUUUCCUGGGGGAUGAGUAUCGGCUCGGUAUACGCUUCUGGUCGGUAUUCGUCUCUGGUUGGUUCAUGCUUGCCCCCGUGUUCUGCUCGUACUACUUGGCUGAGGUGAUCCAUGCCGAUGUGGAAAUAGUAGCAUGGCCGACCUGGUGCUUUUAUUUACUUAACACAAUGAUCUUUUUCUCAUCCUUUCAAUCGAUUAUAAAGACUCCUUGCCCUUCCAGAUUCGGUCUCUUCGAAAAAUAUGAGACCUAAUUUAUCAGCGAUUUCUCCUUGAAUCUUUCUUAUGUCUGGAAUAUGGGGCACCUCCACGAAAAUCACUUGAUCAAAGAACUGGUCUCUCCCGAACUGAAUAGCAACCUCUUUUGCUAAUGUCGUCUUUCCGAUGCCGCCCAUUCCAUAAAUCCCAACCAUGUUCACAUCAGGAUCUUGUAAUGCACGAAGUACGUUAUUCAAAGUGGAGCUUCUUGAUUCAAAUGCCUCGUAGUCUUUGUUAGAUAUAAGCCUUAUGUCCUCCAGAGCUUUACGGUAGGAAAGUCUAUCAAAUCUCCCAGCUUCCCCAAGUUCGACAAUGGCUUUCUGUUGCCUUACCGCUUCCUUGCUAAGCCGAUGGCGGGUCUUCAAAUUUGGACACAGCCCCAUGAAACAACGCUUGUUUGCUUUAUCUGCAUCGCCUGUAAAUUUCUCAGCCUCAGUAAUGAUGUUGUUGACACUUGCAAGCCAUUUCUCAACGUUCUUUUCGAUCUCUUCUCCUUUUCUUCUACCCUCAUCAACCCCGUGCUGCAUACUGGCACCGUCAUCCUUGAGCUUCUCAAGUUCAGUCUUGAGAUUCUCAAAGUUGCUCCUGUAGUUGCGCACAAAACUCAAUUGUCUUUCAGUGGGACGACCCAAGCACUUUGCAACUUCUAACACAACAGUUACUAUGCUUUCCACCAUCUUCAAUUCUUUCCCUUUUCUCUCUCUUUUUUUUUUUUUUGGGUCAAAUUUUAGAAUUUUGUAAAGUAUGUAGAUGUGAAGUGAAGCAAACCAAAAGGAAACUGAACAGAGAAAACAACUAAAAAGAUGUAGAGAUGAAGAAGAAGAGAAGGGAUUUAUUGACAGAGUAAAAAUACAUCAGAAGAGUAGAUACAGAACAAAACAGAGACAAGUGGACAGGGAACAGAGUAAAACUAAAUAAAGAAAACAGGUACACGUACGAUUCGUAGUAAUGUUGAGAUCCGAAGAUUGUAAUAACUAAAGGUGUUGCUUGAUCCAGUGAAAGGUCCAAAGAGUUGAUGGCAGAAAGGAGGAAAGCUGAAGAAUAAAAACACUCAAGAUGAUUGAGAUGAAGAACGACUUGCAUAGUUGGGAGAUGUGCGUCGGACAAAUGGUAGCCAAUUAUUUGAUUUCUACAGCGGGAUUCACUGACUGUAUAUUUUUAAAAAAUUAAGUCAGCAGAAUUAAUUCUUGUCAUUGAAAUGAACGCAAAGGCCAAAGAGUGGACAAAGAAUGUGAAAAAGUUAUGCGAAACGUGAGGUGAUGAGAUAGUUAAGUUCACUGAUGCUCAAUAAUCAAUUUUAUAAAAAUAAAAAAAAGUGAGAAUCCCAAAGUCGAAAGCCAAUAGAUUUCAUAAUGGUUAUCCCACCAGCCAGGCAGCCACCACCUCAGCUUCCACGCAAGUUUCUCUCACAUUUGAACAGUUGGCCCACGGCAGGUCUUUGUCGUUUCAGUCAACAUAAUAUCACAGAAAGGGUGUUGUUAAAUUCUAUUAUAAUGUAAUUUAUAUUAAUUUAAAAGUUGUAAUUAAUAAUUUAAAAAGUAGUUUAGUUAAUUUUAGUUUUAAAUCACUAAUGAUAAUUUAAUGGUUAAUAUAAAUUACAUCAUAAUAUAACUUAAAAGGUCCGAACAAGUAAUUAAUUAAGGCCAAAAGUUAAAACAAAGAUCCCAUCUGCACAUGUGCUUCUAAUUAUAAAAUCUUCGCAUAAUUUGCAAGACUGAUGUUUUGAAAUAAAAUUUGAUUAAAAAUUGACAAAAAAACAUAAGCAAUGGUGUCAUUUUAGGUGAUUUUUUUUUAAAUAAAACAAAAACGAUGUCAUUUUUUAGCUAAUUUUAGUCCUCCAAUCAUUUUAAAAAAUUUCAAGCAAGUUACAGGUAAUUCUUAUUCAAUGAUUGAAUAAACUUAUAAUAAAUCUCAGCCACAACGACGAUGAUCAAAUAAUUGAUUCAGCUUCGCACCUAAGCACAUAGUCGCAUAAAUCUCAGUAUAAACAUUAUAUACUUAAAAUUAUAUCAUUUUAGGUUUUUUUUUUUAAUUUUAAAUAAAACCAAAACCACAUCAUUUUAUAUAUGUUUUUAUCAAUUCUUAUGUCUCCAAUCAUUUUCUAAUUUUCAAACAAGCGAUUCUUAUUCAUUUUUUACAUUUUCUGUUCUCAAAAGUGAAACAGAAAAUGAAAUGAAAAAAAAGAAAAAAGAAAAAAUAAAUGAUGAAACUCGGCUCGGGUGGCUCACAACUUGCACGAAGAUUCCUGAUAGUGGCUAAUGCUGCCGACAUCUUCCAACUUGCAAGUUGCAACAAGGUUAAAAAAAGGGGCAUUUAUCCACACUAAAAUAUGUCAAAGCUGGGAACUUGAAGGCGCAGUUGCCAGAGCAGAAGCUUGAAAGUCUUCUUAAAUCACAAAGCUCCAAGUCCAUCAACUCGCUGAAAACAAUUUCAUCUUUCGCAGCAUUUCCCUCAUCAUCUGCCACUACUUCUGUUAUCAUGCUGCAGUCAACGAUACUCAUCAGUGUCAGUCGCACCAAACUCUUUGCUGUUGAGGAUGUUAGCACAUUUUCCCUACUUAAAUGACAACUAUUGAAUAAUCAAUCAUGAAUGAUUUUAGGUUACGAGUGUAGUAUAUAUAGUAAAGUUUAAUAAUUAUGAUCAAUUACUGAAAUAUUACCACGGGCAUUAGAUGACAGGAAAAGAGCUCAUUUAUUCCAUUGUUACAUUAUUUGAGUGAUACAGUAUCACUUUAAUCAAACUUGUGUCCCAAGUUGGGAACAGCUAAAUGGGCAUUCAUCGAACGGUUGAUAUACUAGGCAUCUGCACUUAAUGUUGCUGGUUGUUACAAGUGCUGCCGGUAUUUUCAAAGUUGAAAGACCAUUCAUAGCUUUUCAAUAAUUUGCUUUGAUUAUUGUGUAAUAUAUGAUAAUUUUGUGACGAUGGUGGUUUAUAUAUGUGAUUAAAAGCUAAACUAGUGGAUUUGUAAGUACGCACUCGGCAAAGCAUUUGAGCAGGUAUUUUCAUCUUUUCGUUAUCACAGUCCUCUAAUCAAAUAGCGUUAAUCAACAAAAAUUAUUGAUAACGAAAAUGGAGGAACUUGGGUUCAAAUCUCUAAAUUAAACUCGUGAUCAUUAAAAUAAGCAAACUGCAACAAGUCUAUCUUGAUCAACGUUUCCAACUCAACAAAUAUAGACUAGUGUUUAGUUGUUAAUAAAAUUAACCAAAAAAAAAAAAAUGUUGACAGCACAAGAAUAAUAAUGUUUACUUAUUUAUUAAAUUUAAACUCUGUUCAAGAGAGGACCCAACUUUUAUAUAUUUUAUUUUAAUGGCUUAAAGAAAUUACAAAGUUGAUGCCACAAUUUAUAGUUUUUUUUUGUUUACCUUUAAAAAUCUUUGGAUUAACCGACAAUCAUCAUCAAUCCUCACCUAGGGUCGGGGGAGGAUCAAGAUGGUGCCUACCAUGAGCAAACAUGAUGGCAGAUGGUGUCCAAUUGACCCCCUAAACUUUUCUUUUUUCAUUGAUAUUGUCAUGAAGUUACAUAACUUCUUACAUAAUUGUCUCCAAUAAAUACCAAUAGGUAUACGAACGCAAACAUGAUGCACGCAUCUCUUUAAUUAAUUUAAGGCUUAAAGAGACUUUCAGAGAUGCCUACAAAUUCAAUAUGGCAGCUCUCAUGAGAAAUAAAACUAGCUUCAAAUUGGAUUUCUGAGUACUCAAAUAAAGCUAAAAGCAUACUAAUGAAAUGAAAACUCAAACAAAAAAUCCUCUCACCAACGCCAUCUGACUCUUAAUACAUAGAAAGAACUCGAUGCCUUAUUCAAGAUGCCGCACAGAAGGUUGGCCUGAAUCGUCUUCAUAAGUUUGGACUCCCUGUAAACAAAGAGCAAAAACACAUUGUUGGCAGAUUCUUGAUGCUGAUAAUGGCUGUAGAUUAGAGAGCUCUACCGAUCGGGUAGCUACCAGAGAUAUAGUACAAUUUGUUCCUAUGCGAGAAGUUCAUAGUGAGUGCAUAUGAUUCUUUGACAAAAUUAGUUCAAACUAUUGAAUUUGGGAGUUAAUUCACAUAAGUUUCUGAAUUUUUUCAUGCCUGAACAAACGAGCCCAUUGUUUUCUGAACAGGUGGGCAAGUUUCUGUUGUACAAGCACUUUUGGAGGAGUUGCCUGGUCAGUUUUUGACCUACAUGCGCUGUAGAGAUAUCAAACCACUCAAUGUUCAGAUGGCCCAAACAUGCGCUUGAGUAAAUAUUCAUAUGUUUGGAAAGGAUACAAAAACAAACCAAAUAUAUUAGACAAGACCAAGCCAAACAUAUUAGGCUAUACAAACAUAACAUAGCAGACAUUGAUAAUGGUACAUUACAUAUGUUAGGAUAUAGCGGUUUUAGACGAUGGUAAAUUACAUAUGUUAAGAUAGAGUGGUUUGUAACUAACUUUUGAUGGCUUAAUGAAUUGAUUGAAUUUGUAUUUAGGUUCUAUCAAUGAUCUCAUAUUCUUCCCAUCCAUGUCUUUCGAUUUUUAUUAUUCCCUCUACCCACUUUUUUCACAAUUGUUUGUGUCUGAUGGCUUAAAACUCCAAUUUCUGUUGCUCAUAAACUACUACACCAGCAAUCUAACACAUGGCUCACGUGCACACUAGACAAGUCUGAUUCACACAUCUUUAAAGUGUUGUAUUAUAACUCUCUGAAACUGGGUUUGAGUAAUCAAGAAUAGCCAAAAUGUAGAACAGUGACAAUAAAAAAUGAAGACCCUCUUACAGUCUUAACUUGAUAGAAGAAAACACGAGCUACAUACCAUGUCUCACAAAUUUCAAAGAAAAUUGGCCUCAUUCCUGAUGCUGCACAGAAGGCUGGCCUGAAUCAUCUUUAAGAAAGCUCAUUUAUUACAUUAAUACAUUAUAUCAGUGAGAUGAUGCUACUUUAAUGAAACUCAUGUCUCAAGUUAGGAACAGCUACAUGGGCAUUUCAUCGAACAGUUGAUAUGCUCGGCAGAUAAUCGAAGUUUCCUGGAAGUCGGAAGUGCUGCUGGCAUUUUCAAAGUUGGAAGACCAUUCAAAGGUUUUCAAUAGUUAGUUUGAUAUUACACGUGUGAUAAUCUUGUGAUGAUGAUGAUUUUAUGUAUCUGAUUGUAAGCUAAGCUCAGUGGAUUUGUAAGUAAGCACACGGAAAAGUAUUUAAUCUUCUUAUUGUCGCAUUCUUCUAAUCUUAGCUUUCACCAACAAAAAUAAUUAAUAAUAAUGUAAAUGGAGGAACUUGGGAUCAUUAAUAUCAGUAAACUACAACUUCACCUAGGCUCCAGGGAGGAUCCGCAUGUUGUCAACAGUGAGCAAUCGACCCGUAAACUUUUAUUUUUUCAUAAUUUUCUAUAUAAAAUCUUCAUAUUUUCAUGAAAUUACAUAAUUUCUUACAUAUUUGUCUCAAAAAAAUACCAAUAGGUGCACGAACACAAAUAUGAUGCACACAUCUCUUUAAUUAAUUUAGGGCUUAAAGAGAUUUUAAGAUGCCUACAAAUUGAAUAUGGCAGAUCUUGGACACCAUCCAUAAGAAAUAAAACUAAAUUCAAAUUGGAUUUCUGAGUACUCAAACAAAGCUAAAAGUAUUAUGAAUGAAAACUGAAACAAAAAAUCAUCUCACCAACACCAUCUGACUCUUAAUAUAUACAAAGAACUCGAGCUCGAGCCUUAUCCAAAAUGCUGCACAAGUAGCAUGAAUCGUCUUCAUAAGUUUGGAGACUCUGUAGACAAAGAGUAAAAACACAUUGAAGGUGCAGUUUUGACAUAAUUAAAUUGCACAAAUUAACCUCUAUUAAGGACACAGAAAUCCUUCAAUUCUCAACUCUGUAAGCAAUUAAUUUCAUUUUUUAUUCUUUUAUCUUUUGCUAUGUCUGUCUAACAACUAAUCCUCAACAUACAACAGAGCAGAGUAGUUAUGUUUUAAAAAGAUGUACCGAUAUGAUUUAACAAAAAUUUCAACAUAAACAAAACAUUUUUAGUCAGCAAAAUAGAAUCAAAUCAAAACCUCCCAAUUGUAUAGAUUUUAUCUUACCACUGUCUUUCGCAUCUUUCUCCUUUUCAUUCGCCUCGGCGGACUUCUCAUUCUCUUUUUCCUUCUCUUCCUAAUCAAAUUUAAAAUGACUUUAUAAAAAAUUUAAUAUAUACUUUUUUCUUUUUACUUUUUUAUAUAUAUCUGUUAUUAAAUCAGUAAGUUUUAGAAAAAAAAAAAUCAACAUCUCAUAGUGAAUGAAUACUUAACCUUUUUUCUUUUAAGAUAUACGUAUUGAAUGGUUGUAUUAAGGUCCCGAUCCCAAGCCCAAAGUUUAUUAUCAAACACGCUCAGCUGCACUUUCUGUAACUUGGGUGUGCUUAAUUCCCCUUCUGAGAAAAUCUUCAUAUUGGGGCAAUUAUCCACCACUAAUCUUUCUAGAGAUGGGAAUUUGAAGUCGCAAUUAUUCCCAGAGCAGCUGAAACUAGUCAGACUUUCUAAGUCCCAAAGCUUCAAUUCCUUUAAUUCGCUGAAAACAAUUUCAUCUUUUGCUGCAUAAUUAUCUCCCUGAUCAUCCUCAUCUGCCACUAUUUCUGUUAUCAUCACGCAUGAGUAUAUCAUCAUUUGUCUCAGUCGCACCAGACUCCUUGCUGUUGAGGAUGUUAGUACGCGUAUCAUUCCACGGCAACGCCAUACCUUCAACGCUGUUAGGUUCUGAAAGGACGUUGAGGAUGGCACUAGAUUAGUCAAAUUGUGACACUCGAAUAUCUCCAGCUGUUCCAAAUUGUUGGUAUUGGUUGACUCUUGUUUGAAAAUCUGCUUCAUUUCACGACGCUGGUUUAUCCCUCUCAUCCUUGCAUUCAUCCCAUUUUCAAGGUUUUCAAGUGAUCUUUCCAAAGCAUAAUCGUCUCCUGCGAUAAGGAGAAUUUUGAUGGUGUGAGAUCUCUGGAGGAAAUCGUCAAGUGAUAAAAUAGUACUUGACUCAUCAAGCCGGACGUCAAGACAUUUAAGUUUGCAAAGCCAGUCUUCUGGAAAUAGGCCUAUGUGCUUUUCAUCAACACUCAAUUUCUCCAAAUUGGGGAACACCUGGGUGAUCAUUAAUCACGAUUUCACAAAUUAAAGUAAAUACAAAGCAUUCCAAUGAUGCGUAUUGAUGGCCGGACAAAUUUAUAGAUAUGCGGAGAGAGUAUGAUUUUCAGCUGUAAAUACAAAGUAAAUACAAAGCAUUCCAUUUAAGUAAUGUGUAUUUUCUUCCGUUCUCUCUUCUUAACUCUUGUCCAGUAGAUAGAUUUUCAAAAUUUAUUAGAUUUGUGCAUAAUCUCUAUGAAAAAAGACUUCAAUUAUUCUCAAAUUGCAUUUAAACUUUGAGAUUCUUUUAAUUGAUCCGUUUAUUUGGUUUGAAUUGAAAAUCUUACAAAUUUCUUUUUAAAAAAAAUAUUGGAGUUUUUAACUUUUUCUUAAAGCAAAAAUGAAUAAAUAAUAUGAAUUUUAAAAGUUUAAUAAUAUAGUAAGAAGCUGGUAUUUCAUUAAUAUUCAUCCAACUCAAUAGAAUUGGAUAUAUUUACUAUUGUGCAAGAAUGGAUUUUAUUGUACAUAAAAUUUAAUAGAAUAAGAUUUCUUAAUUUGAGUUUUGUCCAUCUCUCUAUAUAUAUUUUAAAAUAUUAUUUAUGUUUCCACGAUAUGACCAAUUUCUACUUCAACAUCAAAAUUGAUAAUCAUUUUGUAUGUAAGAAUACUGUAUUAAGGAGUACUAAUUUGGAAAUAGCUCUUGAAUGAUUUUCAGGAAAUUAACUAUGGCUUGAAAAACUCUAAAUCUUAUGAGUAUUUUCUUUGUUUGGCUAAUCAAAUGCACUGUCUCUUCCAUGUAUUUAACUAAACAUAUAGACAUCAAAUAAAAAGUAGAGGAAGAAGAAAAACUCUGAUAAUUAAGAGAAAAAAAAUUGAACUAACAUUAUUGAAGAGUGAUAAUUAUGUUUAUUGAAGAUUUAUUGAAUUCAAUAUUCGAUAAUGAGAAGAUUUAUUGAAGAGUGAUAAUUAUGUUUAUACGGAUAUUAUAAAGUAUAAAUAAAGUGAUUUAUAGAACUAACAUUUUCUUACUAAAAGACAAAGUGAUGAGGGCAAUGACGAAAAGAAAAUUCUAAACUCUCAAAGUAGAAAUGCUUUUAAGUACGUAAGAAUUGAACAAUAAUUACAAAAAUCUUGCACGUGUACCUUUUCAAAAUGCAGAUCUCCUGUGCAGAAGCUUGUAAGCUGCGGAAGAGAACAAAGUCUGAGUGUCCUUAAUUGAGUGAGUUCAAUCGCUUGAGUGUUAUUAUUGCUGGCUUCAUCUCCUCUCUCGGCAGCGAAAAUCACUUCCAUAUUUUGGCAACUACUCACUUCGAAGGACUGAAGUUGUUCUUUAAUUUGCCUAUGGUCACCGGAAAUACAUUUUUCAAUUUAUCACACCCUUCCACCCUUAUGUUCUUUAAUUUGCAAAAAGACUCUGCUGAGAGUGGACCACGACAUAUUUUCUCAAGGUUACCCAAAUCUUCCAGAAAUAAUGACUCCAACAGGGGGAAUGCAGUUGUCCGAGCUGCCGUACAAUCCAUUGUGUCAACAAGACGAACAAUGUUGCCAUUACGUCGGAUUUGGAGACGCUUCAGCUGUGGAAAACCUUCUCCGUCUGAUCCAUAAAUAACACUCUUCAUGUCCGGCAAUCCAUCUAAAGUUAGGUCUUCAAUACCCUUCAAUUGCAUGAUAUGCCCCUCGUUCAAGCAAAUGUUGUCACCAUUUGUGAGCUUCAGUUUGAAUUUUCUAGAAAUCCCAUCCCGUGCGCCAUACUCCCAGCUAUCUCCUAUCAAUUUCCUGUACCUUUGCAGCAUUUUGAAGAACGACAAGUCUCUUGGUAGAGCCUUUUCAUCUUGGAUGAGUAUUUCUAAAGAGGUCAAUUUAGAUAAAUUAUUCAACUCAUCAAGGCUGGCAUUUCUUCUUUCACCGUCGACUCCUCCAACCUUCCCCCACAUAAUGGGACUCUCACCGAUAUACAAUUCUUCUAAUCGUGAUAAGCUUGAUAUCACAUUUGCUGGAAUAACUCUCAGUCGGUAACAUCGGCGCAGAUCCAACAACCUCAACUGAGUCAGCCGGCCUAUUUCUUCAACCAGUUUCUGCAUAUUAGAACCUCAAAGUGUAAGGAUUUCUAAUUUCAUUAGAUCUCCAAUAAUAGCGAUGUCUCCUAGUUGGCAAUCAUCGAGAGACAAUGUUUGAAGGCUUUGUAAGAGACCAAGCGAUGAAGGCAAUGCCAGCAAAUGCAUCUGAGUGAAAUCUAAAACUCUAAGCCCUAUCAUCCCACUAAAAAAUUUAUCUGGGAUUCUCAAAGAAGCAUGACAGCCAAUACAAAGGAAUUUAAGUUGCGGGCAUUCGAACCCUUGAGGAGGCUCACUAAUAUUACUAUUCUUUAAGGAGAUUGCGGUGCAAACCUUCAGUGUAUCCUUAUCUGGCCAGCUGGUCAGCGGAACAACCUCAUUUUCCACCGCAAACACAUGUUGGUCUCUUGAUGCAAUUGAUCUGGCUACAUCACGAACAACAUCAUGCAUUGAGAACCAUUCACUUGUCUCGCCAUCAAGCAACAAACAAGAGUUCUUGAGUUUAUCAACCAAUGUAUGUGCUCUAUCCCGUGCCUCUUCCAACGUGUUGAUGUUUUGAAACAGACCCAAACCCAUGCCAUAAUAGAGUAGGUCUUCAACACAAGAGAAGAACGUGUACCCUAUUAGCAAAAAUGUUUUCUUCAGUUCCUCUCCGUUUAAAUGAUUGUAACUUAGCUCUAUACUUUUGUAUGCCACCUGCGUUGUUCCAGUGAAGUUUCUCAAGGAAGGCCUUCUAAAUUCCAGCAAAGCAUCCUUCCAUUCAGACAAUCUCUUAUUUCUCAAUGCCCUUGCUACGGGUACAAUGGCAAUGGGCAAACCAGCACAUUCCUUGACUAUCUCUGUUGCUACAGAUUUCAGUUCACCAUUUUCUAUGCAAUCACCUGUCAUCUUUUUGAAAAGACUCCAAGCUUCUUUUUCGUUCAGAACAUCAACAAAAAAAUUUUGUUGACAAUCCAUCUUACAAGAUAACACAUCCUGACUUCUUGCUGUCAGCAGAACUUUACAUCCGCCGUUGUCAUCUGCCAAUGGAAUUCCAAUCGCCUCCAAAUCAAGACUCCCCCAAAUAUCAUCCAAGAUUAUAAGGAUCUUCGUCUCUCUCUUCAAUCGUUCCAGCAGCCUCCCUGCUCUUACAGUUUCAUGACUCUGUUCAGCCAAUUCUAAGCCUAUCUUCUCUGCGAUUUCUCCUUGUAUAUUCUUUAUUUGCGGUGUUUGGGAAACAUGUGAAGAAAUGACCUUCUCAAAGAGAUUAUUUUCCUUGGCCUGUCUGCCAACUUCUUUCACCAGCGUUGUCUUUCCAAUGCCACCCAUGCCGUACACCCCAAUCAUGUUGAAGUUACGGUUGCUGAGUGCGUUUAGUAUCUCCUUCAAGGUGGACUUUCUCGAUUCAAAGUGCAUGAAACCCUGGGUGGACUUAAGCCAUGUCUCCUCUGGAACGGUACGGAAAGAAACACCGUCGAAUCUCCCUUUUUCAUGGAGUCCAACAACAGCAUUCACCUCUCUUUCUGCUUUCUUGCUAAGCUGGUACCGAGUCUUCAAAUUUGGACACAACCCCUUCAAACACCGGCUGUUUGAUUUCUCUUUGUCUUCAAUAAGUGUUUCGACUUCAUUGAUGACAUUGUCCACACUAAUCAGCCACUCCUCGACGUGCUGCUGAAUUCCGUACCCUUUAUUUCUGGAAUCUUCAACCUUGUACUCCACACUGGCUCUAGCAAUCUUUAGCUUCUCCAAUUCAUUCUUCAGCUUCUCCAAGUUGGUCUUGUAAGUGCAGCAGUAAGUAAAUGGAUGAAUUAUGGGAGCAACCAAGUACUCUGCAACUUUUGCAGCAACGGAGAUAACAAUUUCCAUUAUCCCUUUCUUUUUUAUUUUUUGCUUUCAGAAAACAGGGGAAAGCAAAACUAAUCAAACUAAGCAGAACUAAUCAACCAGCUGGGAAGAGGGAAAUAAGAAGUUUGGAUAAAUUGCUAAAAUAAGAAGUUGAAUAGAUUUAAGGGAGGAGGAGAGGAAAAGAGUGAAAAAUCUAGAGAUGAAACAAAGGGGGAUCCUUUUUCUGCUAAGACAAAUUGAAAAGCGAGUACAAUAAAUGAAAGAUUUGCAAAGAAGGUGUAGGAUCGAGGACAAGAACGAUUCAGAAAAGGGAGACAGAAAAUGAAGAAGAGAUUUCAGAGAACUCUAGAGAUUAGAGAAGAGGGAUGAUUAGGAAAAUGCAGAGGCAGACAGUUGUCAUCUCAAGUCUCAAGGGUAAUCUGAAUACUGCAAAAAAGCCAAACUAAAUUCAUACAUGGAGAAGACUCAUGCUUCCAAGUCAACUAUAGAUUCUUAAUAACUGAGAUAGAUGGUUAUAGUUGCAUGUAAAUAGUGUCAAAGUUAUAGGUUAAUUGGACAGCGCAAGGUGGCAUUUUGGCAUUUCAUUGAAUUUUCUUGUUACCAGUAAGUGCUAUGCUGCCGUUCCGGAUUUUUUGAUUUUUUUUUUUGAAUUUUCUUGCGCUUUUCUAAUAACUCUGCUAUAAAGCCCAAGUUUGCGGACUUUAUGAUUUUAUUUUUCAGAAAUAGAUAUACAAAUAAAAUUAAAUAAAAAAAACUGUUGCGUGGUCGUGUGGGUCCUCGAAAUCAUUUCGGCAUUUAAAUUUAAUGGAACAGUUGGAUGUACUCAGCUCUACACUUCCACGAAGGUUCCUGGAAGUUGCAAGUGCUGCCGGCAUUUUCAAACUCGGAAGGUUUCAAUAAUUUUUCCUUUUUACUUUGAAAGAAAGGUUUCAAUAAUUAGCUUUGAUUAUUGUAUAAUAUGUGAUAAUCUAGUGAUGAUGAAGAUUUAUGUGUGUGAUUAAAAGCUAAGCUAGUGGAUUUGUAAGCGAGCCCACGGCGAAGAAUUUGAGCAAGUAUUUUUAUCUUCUUAUUGUCACAUUCUUCUAAUUAAUUUGCUUUCACCAACAAAUAUAAUUAAUAAUUUGUAAAUAGUUGGAUCUUAAGCUCAAAUUUUGACAAUACAUGAAUUGUAAUGUAUACAUAUUUUUCAAGUGUAAACUCUAUUUAAGAGAGGAUCUCAAUUUUUAAUUAGAGAAGAUCAUAGUUAAAGCACACAAUGCGAGAAUAAUACUGGUUGCGCUGACUAACAUCAAAUACAAACAAGGAAGAAAGAUUAUUCAAGCUUUCCUUACAGCAUUAAUCAUGAUUAUUUGAUAAACUAGAGGUGAUCACUGAUUUAUAUUUUUAGUGCAAAACAGAAUACACUGCAAGAGCUGAUGGCUUUCUUUGCUGUCCUCCUAUUGUCACAUAUUUUGAUGUCAAUAACCUAAAUGGGUUAAGGUCUUGAGACUGAAAUCUUUUAAUUGUAAUUGACAUCACUCAUUCAUGAUCCAAGAUUCUAUCGUGUGUGAUGGGGUAAGACAGUUUUUUUACUUGAAAAAUUUUACAUAAAUUUUUAUGGUUUGAUGGCGUCAAAUCCCAUGGAAACGAUAUAAAUGACUUGAAAAGAUCAAUUGAUCAGUGAUUUGUCAAAAGUUUACUGAUAUUAUUACCCUCCGACACGAUUUUAAGCUUUAUAUCCAGACUAGGGUGACAAAUAACGUAGCACUACAAUCAUCAAUCUUACUUAGAUAUAAUUAUUUUUAUCUUCUUAUUGUCAUAUUCUUCUAAUCAAUUGUUUUCUUGUUUAUCAACAGAUAUAAUUAAAAAUGUGAAUGUUAGGAUCUCGAACAAAGUUUUCACCGAAACAAAUAAAGAAUAGUGAUUAGAUGUUAAUAAACAUAAAAAAAAAAUGAUAAUACACGAAUAAUAAGGUAGGCUAAGCGAUUAGGCUAAAAAAAAAUGCAGAGGCACAGGUUUGAUGUCAAGACUCGAUGGGUAAUCUGAAUAAUGCAAAAAUGUCAAACUAAAUUCAUAUGAGGAGAAGACUCGUGCUUCCAAGUCAACUAGAUUCUCAAUGAUUGAGAUAGAUAGUUAUAAGGGUUAUUAUGGUUUCAUUUUAAAAAAUAAAAAAUUACAAGAUAUAAAAUAACUAUAAGAAGUAUUGGUGUUAUCAUUGUAUCUUUAAAAAAAAUGUUUUAUUUUAUAAUAUUUUUGUUAAUAUUGUGAGUCCAACACUAACGUCAUACUAAUAUUAAAGCGCUAAAAGUGUCUUUAGAUUCAAAACCAUGAUAAAAUUGUAUGCAAAUUAACAUUACAAGGGCGGCAUAUUUAUUAUUGGUUAAGAAAGAGGGAAAAAAAAUUGGAAUCUCAAAUAUCUAGCGUCAUCGUUAUCUUUUUUUCUUCAUUUUUUUUCUUUUUCCAGACAGUGGUCCACUAUCUUUGAAAAAUUAUUGGCACUUUCGAAUGGGCAUUAAGCCAUGCAUUGGCAUUGAGGGUCUCAUCUGAAAGAGGAAUUUUGGUAGCAGCAGUGGCUGUGUAAUUUUUUUUAAAAUGAUUUAUCUCUAGGAAUGCGUGAUCAAUUUAAAAGUGGAUUUUAUAUCAAAUUUCUUUGAGAUUGCUUUUCGAUUGAUCUGUUUGAUUUGGCUAUGGAAUGAUGGUUUUAUUACUAUGAGUUUGAAGGAUUUAUGAAAUAGAAAUUAAGAUUGAUAGAAAACAUAUUGAUCUCCGAGCUUUAAUGGCAGUUUCAACUUGUUAUCUUCAAGCCUCACCGGUGUUUUCAAUUUGAUACUUUGAUGAGAGCAAAAUUAGCAAUUUAGCACUAGAGGAAGAUAUUUAAUCACAAGUAUAAGAAGUUUUGACAGCGAAAAGAGGUAUUCUUCAACUGGGGUUAAUUUUUUUUUUGUUUUCUUAUUUUUUAUUAAAAAUUUAAUUAAUUUUUAAAAUAAGGCCAUACUUGAUAUUUUAUUAGUUAACUAACAAUAAUAAACAAAAAUAUAAUAAAAUGAAAGAUUUUACAAAGAUACAGUAACAAAAUGCUAAACAUUAAAUUUUUUUUAUGGUAGCUUUUGAUAAUUUUAAGUGUUUAUUAAAUAUUUUACUACUAUAAUUUAAAAAUUACAAUUGAUAAGCAAUAAUAGCAGGGAGAGGAUGAUAGAAAAUCUUGUUUUCUAUGACAAGUAGGUUUUGUCUUGUUUUCUAUGACAAGUAGGGUUUUUUCUUUUUUCAAGAGUUUGCUUUCCUUCUGCAUCUUUUGUAGCAUCAAUGACGUCCACAAACACAAGACUGCAACCGGCCAUGGAGGAGAUUUAUGCUUCUUUAUCUAUUGCCGAAGAAGAUGAGGGGGGUCUCAUAAUAGCGGGAGAAGAUGCUGAUGCUGGGAGGGUUGGAAAGGCUGAUUUCCGAUUUUGUUUGGUAGGAAGAUUCCUGACGGAAAAGGUCAUCAAUUUCCCGGCUAUGAAAAAUACAAUGGCAGCCCUCUGGCGUCCAGGGAAAGGGAUUUGUAUCAAAGAUUUGUCUCCAACGUUAUUUAUAUUUCAAUUUUUCCAUGAAAUUGAUAUUCGGAGAGUGCUUGAAUCAGGGCCUUGGACCUUUGAUCAAUACAUCCUCAUUGUUAAGAGAUUGGGUAAAGCAGAACAACCCCAAAUGGUGCCACUAUAUCACACAUCCUUUUGGAUCCAAGUCUAUAACUUACCAAUUGGUUUCCUUUAUGAUAAAGUACUGCAGAACAUUGGCAACUACAUUGGGGAAUUCCAGGCGUCCGAUGAAAAUAAUUUAAUGGGGGUUUAGAGGAAUUAUAUGAGAAUAAGGGUAUCUCUUGAUGUUCGGAAGCCACUUAAACGUCGUAUGAAGCUGAAGAAAUCUGGGAGUGACUGGAUAUGGAUAGAUUUCAAGUAUGAGCGUCUGCAUGUAUUUUGUUUUAUAUGUGGAUUGUUUGGACAUACUGAGAAACAAUGUCCAUCUCUUUAUGAUUGUCAUGAAAGUACCAUCACAAAGCCGUAUGGACAAUGGAUGAAGGCUUCCACAAGACGGAAUAACAUGAAUUCCGGUGAGAAAUGGUUGCGCUCGAUACCACCGGAAGCGGGAGAAGGAAAAUAUGGAAAUUGCAUGGAAUCCGCGGAUGAUAUGGCAAUUGAUUCCAUGCAUCCCGUUAAAUUAGGCCUUGCCAAGUUACGUGAUAGUGAGGGAGGCGAGAAUGAGGGGUCCAUGUUGCUAAACAAGGCAUCCCAUAUGUUGGUGCCAGCCAAGAGUCAACUUAACAAUAAAGGGAAAGAAGUAAUUGGUACUGGGCCUACAAAGGAGGGAGAGGAGGAUUUUGAGAUGGGCCUUGUGGUUGUAGAGAAUAAGAGGAGAAGACCUAUUCUAGAGCUGGAAGAGAAUUCUGAAUCUCAAAGUGGUGCCUCUCAUAGGUUGGAGUUAGGUGUAUUUCAAAAAAAUGGAUUAACGGUGGGCUCUGUCAAUCGGGCCCACCGAACCCAAUGAGUAUUCUUAGCUAUAACUGCCGUGGGCUGGGCCAACCACGGACAGUUCAGGUAUUAACAGAUUUGGUCAAGCACAAAAAACCUUCUUUUGUUUUUUUAAUGGGAACUCUCUGCUAUAGAAAUCAGUUGGAGGGUCUUAAAAAUAAAUUGGGCUUUGAAAAUCUGUUUGUGGUGGAUCGGGUGGGCCGCAGUGGUGGGCUGGCUUUGCUCUGGGAUGGAAAUUAUGAAGCUCACUUAAUAAAAUAUGCAGCGAAUUUUGUGGACAUAGAAAUGAGAUGAGCAGGUAUGGGUCAAUGGCGUAUGACAGGCUACUAUGGGUAUCCAGAAUCAGCGAGAAGACGAGAGUCUUGGGAUCUUAUUCGCUACCUUGCUACCAUUUCUUCUCUGCCAUGGAUUUGCUUAGGGGAUUUCAACGACCUCCUCUUUAAUUAUGAGAAAAGGGGAAGUCGAGCUCACCCCAAUUGGAAGUUGCGUGGAUUUAGAGAGGCUGUGGAUGAUGCUGGUUUGGUGGAUUUGAGGAUGGAGGGGUAUCCAUUCACUUAGGAGAGGUCGCGUGGAACAGAGGAAUGGGUUGAGGAAAGGUUAGAUAGAGCUUUUGCGAAUACGGCCUGGUGUGGUUUGUUCCCAAAGGCAAAGGUCUGGAGUGUGGAGGCAACAUGUUCUGAUCAUUUACCCAUUUUUGUGGACCCGAAUCCUUCGGGCUUCACUCCUCGACACCCACGGUUUAGAUUUGAAAAUGUAUGGCUUCGAGAAUCGGAGUGUGAGGAUGUUAUUCAAAGGAGUUGGAGUUCUUCUGCUGGUUUUCCAAUUCAACAUAAGCUAGCUAUAUGUGGGGGGGAUUUAUCGAUAUGGGGGGGAAAGUUGUGUCGGGAUUUCCGCAAACGCAUAGUGGAAUGCAAACAUCAGAUGGCGUUAUUACGUGGCAGGCGAGACCAAGAAGGGUUGGAGGCAUUUACAGAAGCCAGGAAGCAAUAUAAUGAACUACUUCACAGCCAUGAAGUCUAUUGGAAACAGAGAGCCAAAUCUCUUUGGCUUAAAGAAGGGGAUAUGAACUCUCGGUUUUUUCAUGCUACAACUUCUAAGAAAAUGAAGAAAAACACGAUUGAGAAGCUGCAGAAUAACCAGGGUAUGUGGUGUUCAAACCCUUCUGAGAUUGAUGCACUGAUUAUUGAAUAUUUUCAAAAUUUAUUUUCUUCUGGGGGAUGCAUUUGUGAACUGGUAUUAGCUUGUGUUGAGGCUAGGAUCACUCCAUUACAUAACCAAUUAUUGUUAGAACCUUUUACGGCUCUAGAUGUUAAAGAGGCUUUGUUUAGUACGCACCUAGAUAAGUCCCCGGGGCCGGAUGGCAUGAAUCCAGCAUUUUAUUAGAAAUUUUGGCAUGUGGUGGGGAAGAUGUUACUGAGGCUUGUCUUAGUUAUAUUACGAAUCGAGCUUUCCCAGAAAAGUUUAAUGAUACUUUGAUUGUAUUGAUUCCUAAGCAUAUGCAGCCUGAACACUUGACAGAUAUGCGCCCCAUUGCAUUAUGUAAUGUUCUAUACAAAAUUAUUGCUAAAAUGCUUGCAAAUAGAAUGAAGCUUGUUCUUGGUGAAGUUAUUUCAGAUUCCUAGAGUGCAUUUGUUCCGGGCAGAGCAAUCACCGACAAUAUUCUAAUAUCGACUGAAAUAAUCCAUUACUUAAAGAUGAAGAAACAAGGAAAGACUGGAACAGCUGCGCUUAAGAUCGAUAUGUCUAAAGCGUAUGAUCGAGUUGAAUGGAAGUUUUUAAAGCUCAUGAUGCUGAGAAUGGGGUUUGCUGAGGACUGGGUUGAGAUUAUUAUGUUGUGUGUUUCUACUGUGAGCUAUAGGGUGAUUAGAAAUGGGAUAGAAGUGGGACCAAUUGUUCCAAGUAGGGGUCUCCGCCAAGGGGAUUCGUUAUCGCCCUAUUUAUUCAUUAUAUGUGCUGAGGGGCUAAGUUCCUUAAUUCGUAAUCGUGAAAGGGCGGGUUUCAUUCAUGGGGUUAAAGUAGCCAGGAGUGCCCCUGCAGUAUCCCACUUAUUUUUUGCUGAUGAUUGUUUUCUCUUCUUUAAGGCCCAUCACAAUGAAGCUAGAAUUAUGAAAAGUCUACUGGCUGUUUAUGGAGCUGCAUCGGGGCAGAAGGUGAAUUUGAAUAAAUCGUCAAUCUCUUUCAGUGCAAACAUGGAUGAGGAUUCUAUUAGCCAGGUGUGUGGCAUUCUAGAAGUUCCUUUCACUGGCAAUCAAGGAACUUAUUUGGGGCUGCCUUCACAGUUCGGUAGAAAAAAGAGUGUUGUAUUUAAUUUUAUUAAAGAGAGAGUUUGGCAGCGGCUUCAAGGUUGGGGUCAGAAAUUUCUGAGUAGGGUGGGGAAGGAAAUCAUGCUGAAAAUAGUUGCCCAGGCUCUUCCAAAUUAUGCCAUGAACAUAUACCUACUGCCUCUGGACUUAUGUAAGGAACUGGAGAUUAUGAUGAACUCCUAUUGGUGGGGAAAUAAGAGGAAUGGUGGUAAAAGUAUUCAUUGGCUUCGAUGGGAUUCAAUGUGUAAGCCGAAGUCUGUUGGGGGCAUUGGUUUCAAAAAAAUACAUGACUUUAAUAUAGCCAUGCUCGGGAAGCAAUGUUGGAAACUUAUGACUGAUCCGCACUCUCUUGUAGCAAGGAUCCUCAAGGCCAGAUAUUAUCCUAGAUCUUCUUUUACUGAUGCAUCUGUUGGGUUUAAUCCGAGCUAUACAUGGAGGUCACUCAUGGCUGCCAAGAAUUUUGUUGUGAAUGGAAGUCGCAUACAAAUUGGGGAUGGGCAGCAGGUUCAGCUUUCCAAGGAUCCUUGGCUUCCUGAUGUUCACAAUGGUUUUAUUACAUCAGAGUUGGAUGAAAGUCUUGCAACAGCUACGGUGGACUGUCUUAUGGUUCCAGGACAACGGAGUUGGGAUUAUGAUUUAAUUACGGAUGUCUUCAAUUCAAGGGAUGCUGGUCUUAUUUUGCAGGUGCCUCUCAGCGCUAGACAGAAUGCAGAUCGAUGGUAUUGGCUGGUAGAUCCUAAGGGGCAAUUUACAGUUAGAAGCUGCUAUGAACUGCUGAAUUCUGAAACUAAUGUGUCAAGCAGUAAGGUGUGGAAACACUUAUGGGGGUUGGAGAUUCCAGGUAAGGUUAAACAUUUCUUUUAGCGUGCAUUGAUGAAUGUACUUCCUACUACGGAUAACUUGCAGACUCGAAAGGUUGAGGUUUCCUCUAUUUGCCCCAUCUGUAAUGCUGCAAAUGAGUCUGUGUUACAUUGUUUAGUGGAGUGCUCUUUUGCUCACUCAUGCUGGUUAUUGUCUUCUAUUGGCACUUUUGGGAGAUGUUUUUCUUUGAUUGAUUAGUUUGAGCAAAUAUUUACUCGCUGCUGUAAGGAAGAUUGUAACUUAGCUGUGAUGUUGUGUUGGAAGCUUUGGUUUAAUCGAAAUGAUAAGGUGUGGAAUGAUCAUUGUCGCCGAGCUCAAAGGCUGGUAAAUGCUGCUGGUCAUUGUCUGUUCCAAUGGCAAGAAGCCAAAAGGAGAACUUUCACUGUUGUAGAAGAUGUUCAGUUAGGUCACGGCUCGGUAUGUUGGGGCCAGCCUCCUAUGGGUUGGUUGAAAUGUAAUGUAGAUGCAGGGGUAUUUAGAUCUCAGGGAAGAGUUAGUUUUGGAGGGGUGAUCAGAAACUCUGAAGGUGGUUUUAUUGCAGUGAAGUGUCAGAGUUUCCCUGGUUUUUUCCACCCUCGUGAGGCUGAAGCGUUGGCUGUCCGUGAGGCACUUAGCUGGAUAAAGCAUCUACAGUUAUCUAAAAUUAUUAUCGAGAUAGAUUGUUUAAAUGUGUAUUCUGCUUUAAUUUCUCAAUCUGCUAGUUCUAAUGGUUUUGGUUUAAUUAUUGCGGAUUGUAGAGAUUUAGCUCAGUUAAUUGGAGAAGUGAGAUUCUCUUUUGUGCGUCGAUCUGCGAACGCCGCUGCCCACAGUGUAGCUAGGGUGGGGGGUUCUAUGUCAGGUCCUGGAGAGUGGAGGGAUGUCCCACCUCUAUAGUUAUGUCCUCUGUUGACUAUUUCUCUUAUUUAAUGAAAUUUCCUUCAUAAAAAAAAAAAAUAGCAGGGAGAGAAUUAAAUAGAUUGAGAAUGAUUUUUGAUUCAGGGCAAGUUUUGGAGUGCUUUACGAACAAUCAAAAUGCUAAUCCUAUUAGUCAAUAAACACAAGCGCUUUGUCAAGAACAUUACGGGAAAAACCCUCUAUAUAAAUAACAAUCGUGUAAUUACGGAGGGCGUGUCUUAAUUACAUGGCAGUUACAUUCAAUAACAACAAUAUUACUUAAAAAUUUUCUAUUAGCAAUGAGUGUGUUGGAGGUAGGAUAAAAAAAAUCUGAAGAAUUUGCAAACUUUUUGUGAAAAUGCAUCACUGUUGUCUUGUUCUUUCACUGUUGAUAAUUACAAUGAACUGAUAAAGGCCAAGAGACCCAAAGUGAAGUGACCCAUGUGCUUUUCUAAUUACCCUGCUACAAACUAUAAAGCCGAAGUUUGCGGACUUUAUUAUCAUUUGUUUUUUUUUAAAAAAAACAUAUACAAAUAAAAGGACAAAAGAUGAGACUUAUAGUACCAAUGGCGGGCCCCCUGGGUCCUCAACUUCUUCAAAUGAGCAUUUUAUCCAACAGUUGAUGUACUCGGAAUCCACACUUACACGAGCGUUCCGGGGAGUUGCAAGUGCUGCCAGCAUUUUUCAAAUAAUCAAGUGAUUAUUGAGUAAUAAUUAGCUCUGAUUGAGUAAUAUAAGAGUAAUAUAUGAUAAUCAAGUGAUUUUAAUAUGUAAACGGUAGGAUUUUGGGCUCAAAUCUUUAAAUUAAAAUCGUGAUCAUUUUAUCAUUAAACUCCAACUCUAUCUUGAUUAAUAAACAAAUGUUAGAAAUUAGUUGUUAAUAAAAUAUAUCCUGGAUGUAAUGGCUAUUCCCAAAGCUCAAUUGAACCAAGAACAAAAUCUUGAAGGACCCAAGAAAAGAUCCCAAACAAGAAGUGACACAAAGCUUAACAAGAAUCCAUGAUCAAACAAUGAACAAAACAAAGAAUCAGUAAAGAAGAAAACUUAGAGCAAGAGUGUUCAAUGAUUUGAUUACAUUUGUGUUUAUUUUUGUGGAUGAUUUCAUUCCUAUUCUUGCCAUUCAUUUUUAUGAUUUUUUUUUUUGGGUUGACUCCCGGAACAAUCAACCUGGGGAUGGGUGGGUUUUAUUUAUUUGUCAUGAUUUGAUUAAGCGGAGCAACUAAUACUUCAAAUCGUAUCACUGUUGUAUUAGAGGCUUCACGUACACUGAAUAAUUAGUGGCGAUCUAGUUUAUAAACCAAAAUUUAACAUAUCUACAUAUAACUAAAUGAAAAGCUUAUGUAUUAUAUUCACUCCAUCAAGUAUGAAGCAUAUAAUCAAUUGAUCUACAAGCACUAGACAUACAAAAAUCAAAUGGUAGAAUAGAAUAUACAAGCAUCAGCAUUAGAUGACAGGAAAAGAGCUCAUUAAUAAAUUAUAUGAGUGAUAAUACUACUUGAAUCAAACUCACGUCCCCAGUUGAGAAGAGUUAAAUUAAAUAAUAUUUUGGUGAUUUCAUGUGCAUAAAAUUAUAAAUUUAUAACCAUCAAUAUAUCACCAGACUUUGUAAAGUUAAUGUGAAAAUGCAUCACAGUUGUACUUUUUUUUUUUUUAAUGAAAAUAAUCAUUUCAUAAGUCAAACAACACUGUUUAAUACAUUCAAUAUCUCGGUUGGAAUGUGAUCCAGCCAGACAGCUGAAGUAUUUGCUCCUACAGCAAGCUUUGUCAAGGAAUGGGCACAAGUGUUACAGGUUCUUGGAAUAUGUCUGAACUUGACCUCUUUAAAGUCACGUCGUUGCUCCUGGAUGUCUGAGAUAACCCAGCUUAUACCUAUUCUACUGCCCUUGGUGUUGUUAAGUAAGUCCACCACUUCUUUGCAAUCUGUCUCCAUGAUCAAAGCGGAUAGAGAGAGUUCUUUUGCUACCUGCAAGCCCCACUCCAUCGCUUCAGCUUCUGCAAAGCUCACUCCCUCCCUUAGUGGAACUUGCUUUGUGUCUGCCGCCACUAUCUUGCCACUUGGGUCUUUUAUAACAGCUCCCAACCCUGCUACUUGGUCCCUGUUAUUUAUUCCUGCAUCCACAUUAACCUUGAGGAAAUUUCCAGGUGGGGGCUCCCACUUUUUCUGCACAAUCCUUUUGACAUUAUGAAUGUGAGAUGCAUCUGGUUUUCGAGCUCUAUGGUAGGCUUCUAGAAGUGAUUCAGCCUUUGCAGCUGAGGCUCUUGGGUCUGACUUUUUUCCUUCGAAAAUCCUUUUGUUUCUUGCAAACCAUACUGCCCAACAGAAAGCUAUUGCUUGCUCAGCCUCUGUUUUUCCCCAAGUGCUCCACACCUCAUAGAUGAAUUCUAGAAUAUCCUGAUUCUGGGCAUUUGGUAUUUGGACUGAAGAAGUGGCAUGAUACCAGAUUUUCCUAGCUGCUUUGCAAUCCAAGAGUGCAUGUCUGACUGUCUCCACCUCCCUGUUGCACCCCUGGCAUAUUGGAUCUUUCAAGCAUUUCCUUUUCCAAAGAUUUUCAGCUGUUGGCAAUAAAUUCCUAGCUGCCCUCCACAUAAAAAUUUUCAUUUUUUCUGGUAACUCCAUAGACCAUACAACUUUCCAUCUUUUAGAGUUUGAUCCAGAGCUGCUAGGCUCAUCAGGGGCUUUGAGUUUAAGGGCUAUCUGAUAUUCGCUUCUUACUGAGUAUUCUCCAUGCUUGUCAUAAUGCCACAGCAUCUCAUCCACCUUUUGGCUUCUUGGAAGAGGAAUUUUGAGAAUAGCCUCUGUAUCUUCUUGCAUAAAGUGUUGGUUCAGCUUUGCCACAUCCCAGUUGUUUUCAUCAUCCAUCACCUCACCUACAGUUGUAUCAAUUGGCAAGGUUAGGGGGGAGAUCGGUUUAAAUGUGUCCGGUCUUGGUAUCCAAUUUUCUUUAUAAACCAAAAUGUUACUGCCAUUUCCAAUACGCCACCUCGCUCCUUUUUGAAUCACUUGCCGACCCCAUAAGAUGCUCCUCCAAAUAAAGGAUGGGUUGGAGCCAGGCUUUGCGUCUAAGAAUGAGCAGCUUCUGAAGUAUCUUGCCCGAAGAACUUUGGAAACCAGGGAGUUUGGGAAUUGAAUCAGCCGCCACCCUUGCUUUGCCACCAUAGCUUGGUUAAAGCUUAUGAAGUCUCGAAAUCCCAAUCAGCCCCUACUUUUUGCACAACUCAGUUUGUCCCAUCGAGCCCAAUGGAUGCCCCGCUUGUCUUUUUUUGAACCCCACCAGAAUUUUGCGAUUUCACUCUGAAUUUCCUCGCAUAAGCCUUUAGGGAGCUUGAAGACACUCAUGGCGUAUGAGGGAGCUUGAAGACACUCAUGGCGUAUGCAGGGAUGGCUUGAGCAACAGCUUUUAUAAGGAUUUCUUUGCCUCCACUUGAAAACAUUUUGUGCUGCCAAUUAUUAAUCUUGCUUAAGACCUUUAGCUUGACUUCUCUAAAAAAGCUUGUCUUCUUCCUUCCUAUCAUUGAUGGGAGCCCUAAAUAUUUUUCAUAUUUGGAAACCACCUUGAGGUUUAAGAUGUUUCUUAUUGCUGCUUUCUGCUCCUCAGGAAUCUUGCCUCCAAAAAACAUUGAUGAUUUAUCAAAAUUAAAGAUUUGUCCCGACGCCUUUGCAUAUCUAUCAAAAAUUCCCUUCAGGUGCUUGCAUUCAAUCACUGAUGCAGUUGAGAAGACCAAGCUGUCAUCCACGAAAAGUAAAUGGGAUAUUGUGACAUCCUCCGCAAAUCUUAGGCCGCUGAUGCGUUUUUUCCUUUCUGCCUGUAACAACAAACUUGAGAAGACUUCUGUACAGAUGAUGAACAAAUAUGGGGAGAGGAGACAGCCUUGCCUUAAGCCCCUCUCUGGAUGAAAGAAACCUUUUGGGGUUCCAUUGAUGAUUACUGAAAAAGAAACUGAAGUAAUGCAGCCCAUAAUCAGUUCCAGCCACUUCCUUGAGAAACCAAGCUUCUUCAUUGUUUGUUUCAGAAAAGACCAUUCAACCCUAUCAUACGCUUUGUUGAUGUCCAACUUUAAUGCCACCAGCCCCUUCUUUUUUCCAGCCACAGUUGUACUUAUUAUCUUUUUCUUUUUUCUUUUCCAAUUAGUCUAAUACCAGUGGCGCGGCCUCGUGGGUCCUCAAAUUAUUUAUAUGGGCAUUUCAUCGAACAGUGGAUAUACUCGGCAUGUGCACUUGGAAGACGCGUUCAAAAGCUCUAAAUCAUGUUAAAGUCGACCAAAAAGACAAAACAUAGAAAGCGACAAUCCAACAACUAGGUAAAAAUAUUCGCUGUCACAAAUGGUUGCGUUGACGUGUAUAUUUAGGAACAUCAAAUAUAAACAAAGACCAUGUGAAAAAGAAAUAUUCGCUGUUUAGUUCUCAAAUAUUCGCUGUCACAAAUGGUUGUGUUAACAUGUCCAACAACGAUUAUUAUAGGGAUGGCAAAAAUCCCCACGGGGACGGGUACUUUCGGGGAUUUUCCCUAUUCGGGGAGGGUACGAGGAUGAUUUCAUACCUAAUAUUUUAUUCGGGAAGGGGACGAGGAAAUUUUUUUACCCAAUUUCUUAUUCGGGGAGGGGACGGGGAUGAGGUGGAAUCCCCAUCCCCUACCCAUUUCCCCAUUUUAAUUUUUAAUUUUAUUUUAAUUUUUUAAAAUUACUAGUAAAUAAAUAAUAAAAUUUAAAUUAUAAAAUUAUAAAUAUUGGUAAAAAUAAAAAAUAUCAAAAUAUUUAUAUUAUUAAACUUUUAGGCCUAAUUAACUAAUUAAAGUCCUAAAUCUUUAUUUAGGACAUUAAAAAGACCGAGUAGAUUCUAUUAGCCAAACAUUUUUUUUUAAUUUUAAUAUUCUUUAAAUAUUUUAAACUUAAAUUUAUUUUUUAUUUAUUUUUAGAUGUUAUAAUUGCCCACAGCGAAUCACAAUUUUAAUAUCUAAUCUAAUCUAAUAUUUACUUUUAAUUUGCUCCGAUUUAACUAUUGUGUUGUAAAGGGAAUAGUCAACAUUUAUAAAGUAUCCACGCCACCAUUGAAAAAGUUAAUUUUGAAUCUAAAUUCGAUUUUAUUUGUAACAAUUUUGUAUUAGACUAUUAAUUUGUUCAUGAUAGUUUGUAAAAGAAGUUUGUAUUCCUUGUAUGUUGCGUUACUUACUAAUUUAAUGUAUGUGACUUUUGUAAUAGAUAUUAAUAUAAGAUAUAUUUCGAACUUUACUUUUAUUUGAAUUUUUUAUUUUAAUAUGAUUAACUCAAAAUCGAAAAAAAAAUGUAUUAGUUAUUCGGGGAUCGGGGACCCUCGGGGAUCCCCUGUUAUUAUUCGGGGAGGGGAUGAAGAUUCCCUCAAGUAAUUCUGACGGGGACGGGGACAUACACAAAAUUUCGGGGAUGGGUAUGGGGAGAUCGGUCCCCUCCCCUCCCCUCCCCAUUGCCAUCCCUAGAUUAUUAUGAAAAUUUCGGAGAAUUUGCGAGAAGUGGGAUGAUUAAGAAAAUGCAGGAACAGGACAUUUAUGACCUCUAUUAGUAAUUUGAUUUCGUGAAUCAUUUUCAAAAGGAAAAUAAUGCACACAAUUGGAGACUAGGCGAUGAUAAUGAAUGGUCACAUAACCUACUUAAUAAUUUAUGGGUGUGUUUGGUGCAUGUAAUUAUGGUGUAUUAUAAUACUGUUCACAUUAAAAUAAUACCAAACUCAUGUUUGGAACAAAAUUGCAAAGGAUUGGGGUGGAGGGCUAAUGCGUCAACUGACGCAUUAGCUUUGCUUGUUUUUUUUUUUUUUUUUUUUUGCUUUUGCUUUUAACUUUUGCUUUUUGCUUUAUUAUUAUUAUAAUACUAAAAUAAUAAAUAAAUAUAGUUUUUAAUUUAAUAUAAUAUUUUUAUUUUGUUUGUUUUUACAUUAUAAUUAUUAAUAUAAAUUAAUAAAUAAAUAAUUUAUCAUUCAAUAAUAGUAUAUUUUUUUAUUUUUACAUUAUAAUUUAUUAAUAAAUUUAUAACUUAUUAUAAUUAAUAAAAAUAUUUAAAUAUGAAUAAAUUUGAAUAAUAUUAAUUUAAAAUUAAUAAUAAUAUAAAUAAUAACAUAAAAUAUUAAUGCAAUUUAAAUAUAUUAAUAUAAUAUAAAACAUUAAUAUAAUAUAAUAUUUAAUUUAAAUUAAUUAAAAAAAUAAUACAGUACAGUAUAGCACCAAGCAUUGUAUAACAUUAUUAUAAUACAGUGCUAAUAUAAUACAGCAUAAUAUAAUACAUCAGUAUUAAAAUAAUAUAAUAUAACAUAAUACAAUACAGUGUGCUAAACGCAAUCUAUAUGCAUUAAUGCAGAAUCGACAAUUCUAAAUCAUGUUAAAGACAACCAAAAAGACAAAUCAUGGAAAGCGGCAAUUGCUCUAUUGCGUUGCGUGUAUUUUGGGAUCAUCAAAUACAAACAACGACCACGUUAAAAGAAAAGCAAAAGCUGACGAGAUUGGUAAAGAUACAUCAAAAGAAAGACUAAUAGAGCUUUCCCAGCAGCAUUAAUCAUGAUUAUUUGAUAAAAUAGAGGUAAUAAAUGAUUACAUAGAGGGAUGAGUCGGGCCAAGUCUUUAAAUCAGCUCUGUCGUGGAAUAUAACAGGAAUCAGCAAUCAGCAUGUAAUCGAUUAUUAGGAGACUGAUACACUAGCAAUCAGCAUUAAUCAAUUAUUUGAUAAACCAGUAAAUAUUGGGUAUCUCGGUGCUAAACAGUGUUGAGAGAUAAAAAUUAACCUGGUGUCUUCCAAGUCAACUAGAUUCUUAAUAAUAGAGAUAGAUGGUUAUAAUUGCAUGUAAAUAAUGUUAAAGUUAUAGGUUAAUUGACCAAUGGGUCUUUGGUCCAAUGGGAGAAGCCUUGCACUUACAAUGUUGAGUGCAAGGGUUCGAGCCUCCAUAAGAGCAUUAUGGAGGUUAGUUUCAGUUCUUCCUCAAUUAUCAAUUAAUUGAGUGGAGACAGUCUCUCCCUUACGAAAUGUGAGUGGAGCAGGCACCCCUCGAAUAUUAGAGAGGGUUUAAAAUAUCUAGGCAUAUACUUCAGUGUGUCAAUGUAUAGUGGUAGUCCCAGUUAUAUAAUAUGAUUGUAAAUAUUAAUUGUAAUAUUUGAUGUAAUAUCAGUAAUAUCUCUGUAUAACAGACUUAAAAAAAAAAAAAGUUAUAGGUUAAUUGGACGGCACAAGGUAUAAUUUUGGCAUUUCAUUGAAUUUUCUUGUUACCAGUAAGUGCUAUGAUGCCGUUGCUGACAUUUUUCAGCAUGUAAUCGUAAGACUUUUCAAGCAUUUUUAAUGGCAGCUUUAAUUAUUUGUAAUUGUUUAUUGGAAAAAGGACAUUCAACCCCUCAACGUUUAGAAAAAAAGACAAAAAAUCACUCAACGUUUUAAAAAGGACUUAUAAACCCCUUUCCGUUAACAAACACCAUUUGUUUUAACAGUAAAUUUAUUUUUAAUUUUUAAUUACUAUUAUACCCUUAUAAUAAAAAAAUUAAUAUAUUAAUUUGAGAUAUAUCACAAUUAAUAAUUUUUUAAAAGCUUAAAAUUGAGAUACAAUUAUUUUUUUGCCAAAAUUAUUUACUAUAAAUUAUACCUCUCUAACAAUAAUAAUAUGGUUUUAAUUCCUCAAAGAAAAAGGGUUUAAUCAAAUUUCGUUUUAUUAGUAAUAAAUUAUACCCAUGUGCUUUUCUAAUUACUCUGCUAUAAAGCCAAAGUUUGCGGACCUUAUGAUUCUUUUUUUUUUUUUCCAGAAAUAGAUAUACAAAUAAAAUGAACUAAAAAAAAAACGUUGCGUGGUCGUGUGGGUCCUCGAAAUCAUUUGGGCAUUUAAUCGAACAGAUGGAUGCACUCAGCAUCGGCACUUCCACGAAGGUUCUUGGAAGUUGCAAGCGCUGCCGGCAUUUUCAAACUCGGAAGGUUUCAAUAAUUUUUUUUUUCUUUGAAAGAAAGGUUUCAAUAAUUAGCAUUGAUUAUUGUGUAAUAUAUGAUAAUAUGACGACUUAUAUAUGUGAUUAAAAGCUAAGCUAGUGGAUUUGUAAGAAAGCACACACGGCAAAGUAUUGAGCAAGCAUUUUUAUCUUAUUACCAGUACCACAGUCUUCUAAUCGAUUUGCUUUCACCAACAAAAAUAAACAAUAAUUUGUAAAUAGUUGGAACUUAAGCUCAAAUUUUGACAGUAGAUGAAUGAUAAUGUAUACUUAGUUUUCAAGGGUAAACUCUAUUCAAGAGAGGAUCUCAAUUUUUUAUUAGACAAGAUCUAUUCAAGAGAAGAUCAUAGUUAAAGGCUUUGCGUUGACUGGGGAACGUUAAAUACAAAGAAAGACUAUGCUAAAAGAAAAGCAAAAGCGGGCGAGAUUCAUAAAGAAAGACUAAUAAAGCUUUCCUUAUAGCAUUAAUCAUGAUUACUUUGAUAAACUAGAGGUGAUCACUGAUUUAUAUUUUUAGUGCAAAACAGAAUACACUCCAAGAGCUGAUGGCUUAAUUUCUUUGCUGUCCUCGUAUUGUCACAUAUUUUGUAGCUUUCUCAUUUUGAUAAGUCGUUCGCUCAAUAACCUAAACGGAUUAGGGUCUUCAGACUGAAAUCUUUUUAAUUGAAAUUGACAUCACUUCAUUCAUGAUCCAAGAUUCUAUCGUGUAUAAUGGGUAAGACAAUUUUUUUACUUCAAAAAUUUUACAUAAAUUUUUGUAGUUUGAUGGCGUCAAAUCCGAUGGAAACGAUACAAGUGACUUGAAAAGAUCAAUUGAUCAGUGAUUUGUCAAAUGUUUAUUGAUAUUAUUAGGAAAAUUUACGAAAAUAACUAUUAAUAUUUUAUUAUUUUCACAAUUAACCGUCUCAACUUUUUUCUAUCAACAUUAGCCAAACACAAGCCUUUCUUCCCAAUUACCCUUCUUUCCAGAACAAAACCAACAUUGUUUCUCCCAUAUCGCCAAACCAAAAGCAGCUUUUCAUUCUUGAAUCAUCAGCCAACGGCGACCGCAAAAGACAACGGUAAAAGUGAUAUCCGAUCAUAAUCUAUCCGGAUCCAACACAAAUCGACAUCACUCAGUGGUAUGAAUUAUUUUCUGAACUUACUGAACUCAGUCGGGUGAAUCUGAAUCUGGCGACAGGCUGCCUGUCGCAGCAAAACUUGGUGCGACAGGUGGUUUGUAUUCGUUAGCCAUUGGGAUCAUGGAUUCAGAAAAUAAUGAUGCUUGGGAAUGAUUUAUGAUGAAGUUACACGGAGUGAUUGGUGAUAGACCUGAGUUGGUAAUUAUCUCUGAUCGAUGCACUGCCAUAAGGAGAGCCGUUCUUAAAGUAUUUCACAAUGCAACUCAUGGCGUUUGUUUUUACCACGUCAAAGAUAACAUUAAGUCACAAUUUAGAAUGUCCAAAGCUCUUUGGGAUGAAUUUGAGCCUGCCUUUAUUAAUGCAGCAAAAGCAUAUGGCCACGAGGAAUUUAAUGAUCCACUCGGGUGCGGCUGAUUACCUAGAAAAUAAUGUCGGUACGUGUAAUUGGGCAAGGUCUCAGUUUCAAGGUAGGAGGUACAACAUUCUUACCACCAACAUCGCGGAGAGUGUUAAUGCUUUCAUGAGGGAACCUCAAAAAUUUCCUGUUACUCAUCUUGUUGAUCACUUCAGGAAAACAUUGCAGCAAUGGUUUUAUGAUAGAAAAAUUGUGGCUGAAUCAAUGACUACUCGACUAGCAACAUGGGCGGAUGAAAUAGCCACUGAGAGGAGAACUAUAGCUGAAAGAAUGAUAGUUCGGCCGGUGUCUCCGCAUCGCUUUCAAGUUAUAGGCGGUGGGCUUAAGGAAGGGUUGGUUGACUUGCAAAAGAGAACUUGCUCCUGCAGAGUGUUUCAGCUUGAUCAGCUUGUGUGUGCUCAUGCAAUUGCGGCGUGUCUAACACACCGGGUGGAUUUUAUUAACCUUUGCUCGGACUUUUACACUACAGAAUCGUUGGCGAUGGCUUAUGCACAACCAGUGGAGCCAGUUGGUGAUGUGGCUGAUUGGGAAGUUCCAGAUGAAAUUCAGGAGAUGCAGGUAUACCCACCAGUUGAGGCACCACCACUUAGCCGUCGUAAAGAGCUCAGAAUACCCUCGACUGGCGAGGACGUUGACCAGCGGACUGUAAGAUGCGGCCGGUGUCAUGAACUAGGCCAUAAUCGUAAGCGAUGUAAGAAUCCUAUUGCGUCGACUCGAAGUUAGUUGUAUUUUGUGUGUUAUUCGUUGGUUAAAACUAUUAUUGUUUUUGUGUUACGUUGGUUAAAACUGUUAUUGUUUUUUGUAUUUCGUUGGUUAAAACUGUUAUUGUUUUUUGUGUAUUGUACACUUAUAUUCAUAAAACUUUAUUUUAUUUUAAAGUUCAAAAUGUGAGGCAUUAAAAUUAUAUAAACUUAAGUGCGGAAAUAAAAAAAAAUGCAAAUUUCAACAUUGAAAUUACUACAUAGGUCUACAAUAUAAUAUCGUCAUUAAAUAUAUCAACCGCAAUCUUCUUUCUAAAGUACUCGACAUGACUAGCGUUAAACUCCAAUCUAAGCCCGAACAUUAAAUACAUCGUAACCAUCAAUACAAAAAUACCGCAAUCGCUAGUUCCGAGCUCUUGUUCCGGGCUCUUCCAUUGCAGAAUGCGGGGAAUCUUACUCUUCGUUUUGACGACCCAUGUUGAUGGCAACCCUCCGAUUGCUUCGUAAAUCCAAGCCUACAACAACCAAAGUAAAAAAUCAAAUAAAACAACUAUCAAGUAUUUAAUACUAUAAAACUUAUUAAUAAACAAAAAAAAAGCACCUGCACCCCAGACGUAAAGCCGUAAAGAUUGUAUUUUUCAAUAUUAUGAUCUGGAUUUUUCAACCGAGUCUUCUUAAAUUUCUCGUCUUUCUCAAACAGUGCAUUGUCAAGACUCUCGUAAAUCAUUUCCCACGACAAUAGACCCCAUGGACGCUUUCGGAAGUACUGUAUAUCAUCAACUUGGUCAAGCCAAUCGAAAUUAAUUUGACAGUGAUUUUUUCUUGCAUUUAGUACUCUGUCCACAAAAUAAAACAGCGCAAUCUUUAAUGCGUCCAUAUCGUCCAUUUCCUUGAAAUUCAACUCCUUAAAUACUGCAUCAAAUUGCUUCACAUUAAUCUUACGAUGCACACCACCAAAAUACGUAUUCCGUAGCCUCUGCUCCAUUUCAUCAUUUUUUUCAUUGGUAUCAACACUAAAUGAAAGUCCAGUAACCAAGCAUUAUUCGACAAUUGACAAGUGAAUCAAAUGCUUACAAAUUUGAAACCAUAACUGAUCCUCACGGCUAUCUUCUUCAUGGGCCACUUGCAGCAGUAAAAGAUUGUGCAAAAUUACCCCACUAAAUGGAAAACUUCGACACUCCAAGAAAUGCCCAAAUAUAUCCUUUUUGAACAUACUCAACUGCCGCUUUGUUAAUUUUUCCUCGAUGGCUUUUACGACCGAAGAUAACAUACACAUGCUCGAAAUUCGACCAGGAAAGUGAUCAGCAUAACGAAAAUACUGUUGAGUGUUAGAAAAUGCAUAUUUAUAAAGGAGAAAACCGUCAUUUUACAUUUCAAGUCUUACUAACAACCCUUACUUUUAUGUAUUUAACCUUCUUGUGAUGUAAUUACGUGUGUGUUAUUUUAAUUAAGUAUUUUAUGUAUUUUAGGGGCAUUAUAGUCAUUUCACAAUAAAGGAGAGAUCAGACGGCAAAACGGACAUCACUUUUGAACUCAGGACGGUCGAAAACCUUAGGAGGAGCAUAAAAGGAAAAAUGGCACUAUUCACAUGUACGGUACUAUUCACGUAUACGUUACUGUUCACGACACUGUUCACAUAGACGGAUCGAUGACGUGGCAUUGACCGAUGAUGUGGCAUUGACUGAUGAGGUGUCACGAUCCUGUUGGGCUAAAAUUCUUAUGUACUGUUAAUGGUGACGUGGCAGCAUAUCAGUGGACGAAAAAUCUCGUGUACGGUGCAUGCAUCACACAGGAUUAUUUUCAACCAAACCGCGUUACUGUUCAUCCGGGUCAAACCGCGUUACUGUUCAAAGUCGGGUCAAACCGUGUUACUGUUCAUCCGCGUGGUCAAACCGUGGACUGUUGACUGAUGACGUGGCGCAAUCCUGAGCGUCCAAACUGUUUUUAAUCCGAUGGCCAUGAUUUACUCCAUGUAUCUAUAAAAAGGGGGCCUCCCCCCCCCUAAUUUGAUAGCUCUGAAUCCAUUUUUGGGAUUCAUUUUCUGUAAUUCCCUCUCCAUCUUGUAUUUUCUUCGUAUUUUAAUAAAUUCCCAGUUUGCCCCUAGUUCAAUUAUGAGUAGCUAAUUUCCUUUCAAGCUUGGGUUGAAGGUGAAGUCUCAACAUGUGUCAUGGGCUUUAUUUGGUAAAUUUAUUUUCUUUUCCCCUCUAGUUUUUGUGGAUGAUUUGACUUAUCGUCGACAAAUAAUACUGAUCUUGUCUAGAUACCGCCUUGGUUACACCGGCUCUCUAGUAUAAGGUUAUUAUUAUUUGGCACGAUAAGCCCUUAGCACCAUAUUGAUUAGAGCGUGGUUCAUGAGGUGUGGAUUCCCCCCUCAUGAUUUAAUUGGCAUUAAUACGGAUUAUUUAGCCCAUGAUGCAUGUUGAUACGGAUCCAGAUACCCAAGUACGUUAUUUCAAUAGAUUUCUCUUCAAUUUACUCUCGCCAUUGCAAUUCCAGUCUUAGAAUUUAUUAUCGCCAUUUCAAUUCCAAUUUUAGGAUAAUUUAAAUCACUUCCACCACAAUUCCAACCACCCAUUUACAAAAUUAAUUCUACAUAUAAUUAAAAUCCACCUCCUCGUGGGAUCGACACUCGUCACCAUUAGUCUAUACUACAAUAGAUUCGUGCGCUUGCGAGUACAUUAAAAUUUGCACAACAAGUUUUUGGCGCCGUUGCCGGGGAGGUAAGUAGUUUUAAUUCAUAGAUUUAAUUUUUGUGAAUAAUUUCAUUUAAUUAUUUUCUUGUAUUUUUUUUUGUUCUUUAAAAAAAAAAAAAAAAAAGAAAUAAAAAAGUUAAUCUACAUUUAAAGGUUAGUAUUUCUUUUCUUUUUCUCUUCUUUAAAAUUCUGUAAUUUAAUUUUUAAUUUAUUUUUCUUUGUAAUUUUUGUUUAUCUUAUUAAUUUAAUUUGUAGUUAAUUUAUUUCACGUAUUUAUUUUUGUGUAUUUUUAUAGUAAGGUUGUAAUAGCGCAAUAAGGUAAGUAUCGUAAUUUCUCCCUCUUAUUUAUUUUUAUUUGUUUUGUUCCCAUCUUUAUUUUUAUUUUUAUUUUAUUUUGCAUGCAUGGUCGUAGGUCAUUAUUACCUAAUCUUGAACCUAUAGACCUUGAAUUAGAAAAAACACUUCGCACACACAAACACGUUAAAAAUAAAAUGGAUUUGCAACCACAGGAGAGGCCAUUUAAGGACUAUUUUAGUCCCUUAGCUAAUUUGAGCACAUCAUGUAUUAGAUACCCAAAUGUAGCUGCUAGGAGCUUUGAACUAAAACCUAGUGUGCUAAAUUGUCUCCCCACAUUCUAUGGCCUAGAAAAUGAGGACCCAUAUAAUCAUCUGAAUGAUUUUCAUGCCAUUUGUCAAACUUUUAAAUAUGAAAAUUUUUCAGACGAUGAUGUUAAACUUAGAUUAUUCCCAUUUUCUUUAAAGGAUAGAGCUCGUUCAUGGUUAAAUACUUUGCCUGCUAAUAGCAUUGCAUCAUGGGAACAAAUGGUAACAAAAUUUUUGAAUAAAUAUUUCCCAGUGCAUAAAACCAAUUCUAUUCGCAGGGAAAUUUCAGAGUUUACACAAAGAGAGGACGAGCAGUUUUUCGAAACAUGGGAGCGAUUCAAUGGGCUACUCUUGAAGUGUCCACAUCAUGGGUACGAAAAAUGGCACCAAUGUCAAUACUUUUUGGAGGGAUUACUACCAAAUGUGCAAGAAUGGCUAAUGGCAACAAGUGGAGGAGAGCUAAUGUCAAAAAGUGCAUCAGAAAUUUGGGAAUUCUUCCAGCGACAAGCGGACAAUUCCCAACAACGGAGUCGAUCACUCAGGAAUACUAGAAGAAUUAAGGGAGUAAAUGAGGUUCAAAUUGGCGAGUCAACUUCGGGAAUCAAAGAAGUCAAGGAGAUGGUUGAAGGUCUUGCUCGACAAAUAGCAUCGUUAUCGACUGCUAAAUCAACAGAAUCACAUGACCCUGACUCAUAUCCAGAUCAAGCCAAUGCCAUAGGUGUAAUGAGAAAGCCAUCUAAUUACAACCCAUACUCCAACACAUAUAAUCCUGGAUGGAGAGACCACCCCAAUUUUUCAUGGUCUCAAGGAUUCCAACAGAAUGGACCAGCAGCUCCAGCUCCACCAAUGCAACAAAUUCCUCAAGUUCCUCAAGCCUCUCAGCCCCCAUUUAGACCAUACAAUCAGAACCAGAACUACUCUCAACCCAGACCAUGGGAGGAUUCAUUCCAGAAUCUCAAGAAUGUUACUCACUCCACGAUUGAGCAACAGAACCGCACCAUUGAUGGACUACGAAAUGAAUUGAGAGCGGGCUUCAAUUCACAAGCCCAAUCAGUUUCAAGCCUCGAGAAGAUGGUGGGACAACUUGCUUCUUCAGUUCAGACCUUGGCAAUGACUGUUGAGAAAGGCAAGUUUCCGAGUCAACCAGUGCCUAAUCCUAAAGGAGUGCAUGAAGCAAGUACCAGUUCACCACAGCAGCAUGGAGAGGUCAAAGCAGUCAUGACCUUGCGAAAAGGAAAGGAAGUCGACAAUAAAGUGGAGAUGCCGGUGACAAAAGAAAAUCAAAUUGUACCUGUAAAUGCUGAGGACUCACCACCGAAGGAAAAAGAAGAAACCAACCCACGAGAAUAUGUUCCUAAAGCUCCAUUUCCUCAGAGGUUAGUGAAAGGAAAGAAGGGAAAAUCCACAGGUGAGAUUCUCGAAAUCUUCAAACAGGUAAGUGUUAACAUCCCUUUACUUGAUGCUAUAAAGCAAGUUCCAUCUUAUGCCAAGUUUCUUAAAGACCUUUGUACUAAAAAGAGAAAUAUGCAUGUUCAAAAGAAGGCAUUUUUAACAGAAAACGUUAGUUCUAUACUCCAACAUAAAAUUCCUUUAAAAUGCAAAGACCCAGGCUCCCCCACUAUCUCAUGUAGUAUAGGGAACCACACAAUUGAGAAUGCUUUGUUGGAUUUAGGAGCUAGUGUAAAUUUGUUGCCUUACUCUGUAUUCGUGAAACUUGGACUGGGAGAAUUACACCCAACUCCAGUGGUGUUACAACUUGCAGAUCGGUCCACAAAAAUACCUCGUGGUAUUGUGGAGGACGUGCUUAUCCAGGUAGACAAGUUUUAUUUUCCUGUUGAUUUCAUUGUAAUUGACACUCAACCAAUACAAGACUCAAGGAAGCACAUCCCCAUUAUUCUAGGCCGACCUUUCUUGGCAACUGCAGAUGCUCAUAUUCAAUGUAGGACCGGAAAUAUGCAAUUGUCCUUCGGCAACAUGACUAUGGAGCUAAACAUCUUCAACAUUGCCAAACAACCUCACAGUGCAGAUGAUGGAAUUGUUGAUGUGGAUUUAAUAGAAACAAUAGUUGAUAAUACUUUUCUUUCAAACCUUAGUGAUGAUCCUUUACAAACAUGUUUAACUCACUUUGGUUUGGAUUUUGAUAUUGACAGAUCGGUCGAAGAGGUCAACGCCCUACUUGACUCAGCACCAUCCAUGGACACUAAUAAAUGGAAGUCAAGAGUUGAACAACUAGCACCAUCAGAGAAGAAACUCAUUCCAUCAUCAGAAUCACCACCGAAACUCGAGCUCAAACCAUUACCCAACACUCUGGAAUAUGCAUUUUUGGGAGAAGAAAGUACUCUGCCGGUAAUCAUCUCAUCAUCCCUAAAUGACGAACAAAAAGGUAAGUUGUUGGAUGUGUUAAAAGAGCACAAAGGGGCAUUAGGAUGGACCAUAGCAGACAUAAAAGGUAUAAACCCAGUAGACUGCAUGCAUUACAUUCACCUUGAUGAAAAUGCUAAAACUACUAGGGAGAUGCAACGUCGGUUAAAUCCUAACAUGAAAGAAGUUGUUAGAACUGAAGUCCUUAAGCUAUUAGAUGCAGGUAUCAUUUACCCAAUUUCUGAUAGUUCAUGGGUCAGUCCUGUACAAGUCGUCCCCAAAAAGUCAGGAGUCACAGUAGUUACCAAUGCUGAUAAUGAAUUGAUACCAACUAGAGUAACUACAGGAUGGCGUGUAUGCAUUGAUUAUAGAAAGUUGAAUUCUGUCACACGUAAAGACCAUUUUCCUUUACCAUUUAUUGAUCAAAUGCUUGAUAGAUUAGCAGGCCAUGAAUUUUAUUGCUUUCUAGAUGGCUACUCAGGAUAUAAUCAGAUUCCCAUAGCACCAAAAGAUCAAGAGAAAACUACUUUCACUUGCCCUUUUGGCACAUUUGCAUAUAGGAGAAUGCCAUUUGGAUUAUGUAAUGCACCUGCUACAUUUCAACGAUGCAUGUUGAGCAUUUUUUCUGAUAUGGUUGAACGAUUCCUUGAAGUCUUUAUGGAUGAUUUUUCUGUCUUUGGUGACUCGUUUGAUCAAUGUUUACAUCAUCUAACGCUAGUUCUGCAGAGAUGUACCGAGAAGAACUUAGUCUUAAAUUGGGAGAAGUGUCAUUUUAUGGUAAAACAAGGUAUUGUUCUCGGUCACAUCAUUUCAAGCAAAGGUAUUGAGGUUGACAAAGCCAAGGUGGAUCUCAUUUCUAAUCUUCCUCCACCUAAAACAGUCAGAGAAGUAAGAUCUUUCCUUGGGCAUGCUGGUUUCUAUAGACGUUUCAUUAAAGAUUUUAGCAAAGUUUCUAGACCCUUAUGCAAUCUACUUGCUAAGGAUGUAUCUUUUAUCUUUAAUGAUUCAUGUCUAAUGGCGUUUGAAAAAUUAAAGCAGUUGUUGACAUCAUCACCCAUCAUUCAGGCCCCAAACUGGAGCUUACCAUUUGAGCUCAUGUGUGAUGCAUCUGAUUAUGCAGUAGGAGCAGUAUUAGGACAAAGAGUUGAUCGAAUUCCCCACGUUAUUUACUAUGCUAGUAUGACAUUGAAUGAUGCACAGUUGAACUAUUCAACUACUGAAAAAGAAAUGCUAGCAGUAGUGUUUGCAUUAGAGAAAUUUCGAUCUUAUCUCAUUGGUUGUAAAAUAAUUAUAUUCACAGAUCAUGCUGCUCUUAAAUAUCUUCUCACAAAGAAAGAUGCAAAAGCUAGACUAAUUCGUUGGGUGUUACUUUUGCAGGAAUUCGACUUGGAAUUCAAGGAUAAGAAAGGCACAGAAAAUGUUGUGGCGGACCACCUCUCUCGUCUCCAUUUUGACACAAUUACAGAGCCAUUAAUAUUAAAUGAGUCAUUUCCAGAUGAACAAUUAAUGAGUGUGGAAGUAUUACCUUGGUAUGCUGAUAUAGUUAAUUAUCUUGUUACAGGUAAAUUUCCAGAGCAUUGGACCAAGCAAGACAAGGCUAAAUUCUUUGCGGAAAUAAAGAAUUUCUUUUGGGAUGACCCAUAUUUGUUCAAGUAUUGUGCAGACCAAAUUGUUAGACGAUGUGUCCCUGAAAGUGAAAUUCAGAAUAUCCUUUCAUUCUGCCAUGAACAAGCUUGUGGAGGCCAUUUUAGUGCUAAGAAAACAGCUACAAAAGUUUUACAAUGUGGUUUCUAUUGGCCAACUAUAUUUCGAGAUGCUUACACUUUCUGUUCUUCAUGUGAUAGGUGUCAACGAAUGGGGAGCAUUACACGAAGGAACAUGAUGCCACUAAAUCCAAUUUUAGUGGUUGAGAUUUUUGACGUAUGGGGUAUCGACUUCAUGGGACCCUUUCCUCCGUCUUUUGGUCAUCAAUACAUAUUGGUUGCUGUUGACUACGUAUCAAAAUGGGUGGAAGCAAUUCCAUGCAGAACCAAUGAUCACAAAGUGGUGAUAGGAUUUUUGAAAAGCAACAUUGUUUCACGCUUUGGAUUCCCUCGAGCGAUAAUCAGUGAUGGUGGUGCCCACUUUUGUAACAAAGCAUUCAAGGCUCUUUUGACAAAGUAUUCAAUCACACACAAAGUGGCAACUCCGUAUCAUCCGCAAACCAGUGGCCAAGUUGAGAUCUCCAAUCGAGAAAUAAAGCACAUAUUAGAAAAGACGGUGAGGCCAGACAGGAAAGAUUGGUCAUUACGACUUGAUGAUGCAUUAUGGGCAUAUAGAACGGCUUUCAAGACCCCGAUUGGGAUGUCACCCUAUAGGCUAGUGUAUGGAAAAGCUUGCCACCUACCUGUGGAACUCGAGCAUCGUGCAUAUUGGGCCAUCAAGAAAUUCAACUUUGACAUGCAGCAAGCCAGCUCAGAAAGAAGAUUACAACUGGCAGAACUUGAAGAAAUUCGCAAUGAUGCAUACGAAAAUGCCCAAAUUUACAAGCAACGAAUGAAAGUCUUUCAUGACAAGCACAUUAUGAGAAAAUCUUUCACUCCAGGUCAGAAAGUGCUUUUAUUCAAUUCUCGCUUGCACCUAUUCCCAGGUAAGUUACGCUCUCGUUGGUCUGGCCCAUUUAUUGUACAUACUGUUUUUCCACAUGGGGCAAUUGAAAUUAAGGACCCAAAGAACGGUGUCACGUUUAAAGUUAAUGGUCAAAGAUUAAAGCCAUAUCUAGAGUACCAACCACAUGGAGAAAACAUCGAAAUAAAUUUGAGUGACCCACCAAAUUUGAAUUGAUUUUUUUUUCUUUUCGUUGAUUUGAUUUUUCUUUAUUUCUUUUUAUUAUUAUUCUUUUGCUAAUUGAAAUUGUUUUUGCAUAAGUGUGUUUAUUUUACCAUUAAGUUUUCUCUUAUCAUUUUUAAUCAUGAGUCUCAUACUUAGACCGUUCCUCCUGAACAUUCUUAAACCACUUCAACGUGUCAAAACUCAUCUCAAAAGGCAGAUUCUAUUUUGUAAAACACAACGCAUUUGGGCUCUACAACCACCAGAGUUAGUAGCCUAUGUUGAGGGUUUAGAACGCCAACUCCGAGAUAUUGAGAGAAGUGUUUACGACAUCCAGUUGGAGCUUGAGGUAAAUUCAAUAAGAGGACGAUUUUAAUUUUCUUUGUGUGUUUUGAUUUGUUUUUCUGUUUGUGUGCUUUAGUUUGUUACCCCGGUGAAGUGGCGGAUAACGGUACUCCGUGACAAUCAAGUCGGUUAACUUCAGUUUCCCAUAAUAACUGAUAUUCUGAGGCGAAGGUAUGGAUAGAAACGAGAUUCUAGCGAAGCUUCACAAGCGAUUCCCUUCACUUCCUCAGAAUGCCCUCCUUACGAUCUAUAAAGCCCGGUCUGAACGCAUGCGAUUGCUCAUGAGGAAUAACAUACCUGCAGACAUCCGUUGGUUAAUCGAGGCUAAAGUACGAUCGGCAGGUGAGUUACCUCCAAAUUUUAUUGCAUACAUGCCUGGUUGUGGUAAAGGAAAUUAUGCAAGAAAACGACGAGCUCGAAGAAUUUCUGUUGCUUGUCAUAAGUGUGCCAGAAUGAGUUGCGAUAGAAACCCAUGUUCUUUAGGAAUGGUGUCUGAUAACAGGGAAGAUAAAAUUCAAUUCAUUAGGGAUGGCUUGAAUAAGGAGUCAUUGGAUGAUAUCCUUUUGUCUCUUGAAACGCAUCCCAGUGGAUAUGUGCAAGGAGCGAUUCUCCAGUUAUGGCCAUUAUUCCAGAAAGAGCAUGCACGAUAUAGUCUCGGGAAUCUGACUAUAAACGACCCUGUUUGCCAGUUUAUAAGAAAACUGGAUGGGAAGCCCAUCCUCGACCCAUAGAGGGCGUUCAAGCCGUUUCUGGACGUAAAACCAGAGGAAGAUGUGAGCCACAGUCGCAACUACCUGUAAAUAUCCUUUUACUUUAUUGUUAUUUUAUUUCACUAUUGUCUUAUUUUUGCAUUAUUGUCUUUAAUAAUUUUAUUACUGUUUUCUUUUUCCUUUUUACUGUUUCCUUUUUGACUCGCGAGCCACGUGCUUUACGCGUUAUUUGACACUGACAUGUUACCUCAUUCACAGCUGUGAUCCACUGUCACCAAGAUUCUUUAAUGUGAUUUAUCUUUUGUCAAGCACUCACAAAUUAUUUUUGAGAAGUAUCACAAUGGCAGCUACUCCCAAUAGACAAUUCAAGAACAUUUGUGUGCUUUCUGGAUUUACCUAUGGCAAACAUAAAGAAUUCGUGGAGGCAGCCAUAGAUCUUGGUCGAAGCAUAGCAGCGAGAAAAUUACACUUGGUGUAUGGAGGAGGUAACCGAGGGUUAUCAAAAAUGGUCUCAGAAGCAGCUUUUAUCAGAGGAAGUCAAGUGUUAGGCAUCAUCCCAAGAGUCCUCAAACCAUUGGGCAGUUCGUCUGACUCAUCAACUGGAGAAGAGUUAGUCGUCUCAGGUAUGCAAGAAAGAAUAACUGAAAUGCUUAAUCAUGCUGAUGCUUUUAUUUUCCUUCCAGGAGAUCUUGCAACACUAGAGGCACUUAUGACACUAGCAUCUUGGGCCCAUCUGCACAUCCACCAGAAACCCAUCGGUUUGUUAAAUGUCAAUAACUUUUAUGAUGGCUUUAUCGCAUUUCUUAACCAUGCAAUAAAAAACUAUUUCAUUCCUUCUAAUGUGAAAAAACUCUUUAUUUGUGCUCACACUGCUAAUGAGCUACUUGAUAUGUUACAAGCUUAUAAACCGGAGCCAGACCCCUGGACCUUUGUGUUGGAGCGACCAAAUAAUGAUGGUAACAGUAGCCGCAGUAAGAAGUACAAAUUAGAUUUAACUCUCCGCCUGUAAAUAUUUUCUUCUGUGUUGCACCACCCAGGUGAUGUCUUCUAAACUCUACUUCUUUCCUUUAAAACAUUGAGGACAAUGUUUCGUUCUGGUUGGGGGGAGGGAAUAGUCGACAAUUGUGGAAUCUUGGUUAAGUUUUUACUAAUUUUUUGUUGUAGAAACUAACUGUUGCUAACUUUUUGUGUUGAAGAUGGCUGAAUAUGGAGUGUAGUUACUCUAGAAACGCAUCUUCAUUGUUCGAAAAAAAAAAAAAAAAAAAAAUUCUUUUUCUUUAUUUAAGUUUUGAUGUUCAUUUUUCUUCUUCUUUUUAUUUUCUCCUCUAUAAAUAUACAUUUUCCAACUUUUGAGUCGAAGAUGGCUGAAUAUGGAGUGUAGUGCCUCUAGAAACGCAUCUUCUUAGUUAAAAAAAAAAAAAAAAAAAAAAAAAAAAAAAAAAUCUUUUUCUAAUUAAUUUUUCUACAUCAUUUUCACAUUUCUGCAUGCAUAUUUUCCUUUCAUGUUUAGAAUAGGUUGGGGGGUAGAAUGUUGUUUAAAAAAAAAAAAAAAAUUUUGUGUUAUUUGUUUUAACAUUGGAUGACAUGAUUAAUUUCAAAUUUUAGUAUUUGUAUUAUCUUUGGUCUUAAGUGAUGUUAAGCUAUGUUUGCUACUUUACAUGUUGAUGUCGGAGACAAAUAUGAGUUGCUUGAAGGAAUGAAUAUGUCAUAAAUAAGUGCCAAGUGAGUUGUUGAGCCUAUCAUUUUCUUGGAGAGUAACCCUUUUGCCCAUUCUCUAUACAGCUUAGCAGUUUAUUAUUUUAUACACGAUCUCUAUAUUUCUUUUGAGUUAACCCUUUAAAAAAAAAAAUGGUAAAAUUAAAAAAAAAAAAAAAAGAAAAAAGAAAAAAAUGUGUGUUGCUACAUUGGGAGGCCCAUCUAACUAGUAGAUAUGGAUAAUUAUUUAGAGCCCUAAAAGACGAUGGAAAGGCCAUCUUUGAUCCGUUUGAGCCUUUCUAGCCAUCCCUGUUAUUAAAUAUCCAUAGUUACCCCUUUUGAGCCUUUAAAAAAAAAAAAAACACACACAAAAAAAAAAAAAACCCUUUUCUUUGCAAACUUAUAAUCUUGCCCCCCUCCGAUUGGGAGUAUUACCCAAUGUCUUAUAAGUUCCCUCACCUAUUUAUGUUUGAGAAAAUGUAAAUAAUUAUGUUGUUCAGUGAAGUUAUGCCAAAUAAAAGCAAAAAAAAAAAAAACAAAAAAAAAAAAACAAAAGUUGUUGUUUCAAAAGAAUAAAAUAACAAUAAUAGGUGAAAUCCACCUUGCAACUUCAAAAAAAAAAAAAAAUAAUAUAUAUAUAUUUCUGCAUUUUUCUCAAACAUACACUUUGUUUUCCUUAUUUCCUUUCUUUGUUAGCCAUAUCCCUAGCCUACGUUACGUCCUAAUAAAAGUCCUUCUUGAUUUUAGGGAACUAUAAUUUGAAGUAGAAGCUAGUUAUAUGGGCUAAAAAGAUGUAGUGGUGCAUAUAAAAAUAAAAAAUAAAAAAAUAAAUUGGGUUGACUAACAUUUUUUUUAUUUUAUUUGACUUGAGAUCGUAUUAUUUCUAAGCUGAGGGCAUAUUUAUUUCAUCUUGGUGAGAGCAUGUGAUAUCACUUCUUUAUUAUUUUCUCUCUCAAUUACCAUUCAUUGGAGUGACUAUUUUUAUUGGGUUUAAUUUAUUUGUGAGAGUGUCAUUACUUCCAGUGAGAUUUUGGGGUUUGACAUGUCAUUCUUGAAAGUAGCUAUAACAAAGUCUACUGGGCCGAUUCAUGUGGAUGGUUGAUGUGGGUGUGAUAUUGCUUUAGACUGGAGAUAAUGCUUAUACUUUUAUUUGAUUGCUAUCAUUAAUCUGAUUGAAUAAACACGAGUGUUUCUAAAAAAAAAAAAAAAAAAAAAAAAAAAAAAAAAAUUUAAUAUAUUUUGAAUUUGAAUUUUGUUUUCGCUUUAUUUGCUAGGGACUAGCAAUAAGCUGGUUGGGGGGUGUGUUGAGUGUUAGAAAAUGCAUAUUUAUAAAGGAGAAAACCGUCAUUUUACAUUUCAAGUCUUACUAACAACCCUUACUUUUAUGUAUUUAACCUUCUUGUGAUGUAAUUACGUGUGUGUUAUUUUAAUUAAGUAUUUUAUGUAUUUUAGGGGCAUUAUAGUCAUUUCACAAUAAAGGAGAGAUCAGACGGCAAAACGGACAUCACUUUUGAACUCAGGACGGUCGAAAACCUUAGGAGGAGCAUAAAAGGAAAAAUGGCACUAUUCACAUGUACGGUACUAUUCACGUAUACGUUACUGUUCACGACACUGUUCACAUAGACGGAUCGAUGACGUGGCAUUGACCGAUGAUGUGGCAUUGACUGAUGAGGUGUCACGAUCCUGUUGGGCUAAAAUUCUUAUGUACUGUUAAUGGUGACGUGGCAGCAUAUCAGUGGACGAAAAAUCUCGUGUACGGUGCAUGCAUCACACAGGAUUAUUUUCAACCAAACCGCGUUACUGUUCAUCCGGGUCAAACCGCGUUACUGUUCAAAGUCGGGUCAAACCGUGUUACUGUUCAUCCGCGUGGUCAAACCGUGGACUGUUGACUGAUGACGUGGCGCAAUCCUGAGCGUCCAAACUGUUUUUAAUCCGAUGGCCAUGAUUUACUCCAUGUAUCUAUAAAAAGGGGGCCUCCCCCCCCCUAAUUUGAUAGCUCUGAAUCCAUUUUUGGGAUUCAUUUUCUGUAAUUCCCUCUCCAUCUUGUAUUUUCUUCGUAUUUUAAUAAAUUCCCAGUUUGCCCCUAGUUCAAUUAUGAGUAGCUAAUUUCCUUUCAAGCUUGGGUUGAAGGUGAAGUCUCAACAUGUGUCAUGGGCUUUAUUUGGUAAAUUUAUUUUCUUUUCCCCUCUAGUUUUUGUGGAUGAUUUGACUUAUCGUCGACAAAUAAUACUGAUCUUGUCUAGAUACCGCCUUGGUUACACCGGCUCUCUAGUAUAAGGUUAUUAUUAUUUGGCACGAUAAGCCCUUAGCACCAUAUUGAUUAGAGCGUGGUUCAUGAGGUGUGGAUUCCCCCCUCAUGAUUUAAUUGGCAUUAAUACGGAUUAUUUAGCCCAUGAUGCAUGUUGAUACGGAUCCAGAUACCCAAGUACGUUAUUUCAAUAGAUUUCUCUUCAAUUUACUCUCGCCAUUGCAAUUCCAGUCUUAGAAUUUAUUAUCGCCAUUUCAAUUCCAAUUUUAGGAUAAUUUAAAUCACUUCCACCACAAUUCCAACCACCCAUUUACAAAAUUAAUUCUACAUAUAAUUAAAAUCCACCUCCUCGUGGGAUCGACACUCGUCACCAUUAGUCUAUACUACAAUAGAUUCGUGCGCUUGCGAGUACAUUAAAAUUUGCACAACAAAUACAUCUUGCCUACUUCAAUAUCCGGUGAUUCUGAUUUCGCCAUGUAUCUGUAAUAUUUAUAAAAUUAUUACAUUACAUUUACAGAAAUAAAAAAUUGACUCGUUAAAAAAAAAAAACUCUAAUUUUUUGGUGCGACAGGCGCCUGCCGCUCCAAAAAACUGGUGCGACAGCGGGCCGCGCAUGGGCGCGCGCUGCUGCCCAGCGAUGGGCGCCGGCGCGCGCCCUGCCCCCCUCCCUCCCCACCCCCAAAAUUAAGCGCAAUCACUCCAAAAUCGAAAACAAUACUCCCAAACACCACCAACCACCACAAACAUCAUCACCACCAUUAUUAAUCUCAAGCUAUAACUAUUAUUAUUCUAAAAUCUCAUUUUAAAUUAAUGAAAAUAAGAAAAAUGACUAACCUAGGUUUUGUUGAAGGUUGUAGAUCGUAGAUCGGAUGCCGGUGAGAGAUGGAGCCGCCGCCGACGAGGGUUGAUGUCGCCGCCGAUGAUGGGAGUUGGAUCGGUUUGGGAGAGAUGAGUGAAAAAGGGAGUGUUGGGGAAGAGAUGAGGGAGGGGUAUUUUGGUCUCAAAUGUUGUUUUAUGGCUAAUGUUGAUAGAAAUAUUUUUGGGGGGUUAAGAUGAAAAAAAGCAAAAUUUUUUGGGUUAUUACUGUAAAUUUCCCAUAUUAUUACCCUGUGACAAGAUUUUAAACUUUAUAUCUAGACUAAAGUGACAAAUAGCGUAGCACUGCAAUCGUCAAUCUUACUCAGCAAAGUUGCUGCCAAGAUCCAGGUGGCAGAAGUCCAGAGGAUGGGACCAAAGGUUAAAGUGAAGAGACCCCAUGGCAUGUGCUUCCAAUAAUAACAGUCUGAAUUCAAGUUCCAAACAUGUGGUCGUUAUGCAAUCUCUCCGUUUCUCAACUUCAUAGAGGCAUUUCAUCGAACAGUCCAUAUACUCGGCAUCUAUCUAAAUUUACGAGAAGGUUCCAGGAAGUUCCUAGUGCUGCCCUCAUCUUCAAACUUGGAAGACCAUUCAAAGCUUUCAAUAACUAGCUUUGAUUAUUGAGUAAAAUAUGAUAAUCUAGCGAUGAUGAUGAUUUAUAUAUGUGAUUAAAAAGCUAAGAUAGUGGAUUUGUAUGUAAGCACACGGCAGAGUAUUUGAGCAAGUAUUUUUAUCUUCUUAUUGUCGUAUUCUUCUAAUCAAUUUUUUUUUCCAUCAACAAAUAUAAUAAAAAAUGUAAAUGUUAGGAUCUUGGACUCAAAUCUUUAAAUUAAAAAUCGUGAUAAUUUUAUCAGUAAACUACAACUCUAUCUUGAUCAAAGUUUUCACCGAAGCAAACAAAGAUUAGUGAUUAGAUGUUAAUAAACAUAAAAAAAAAAAACGAUAAUACACGAAUAAUAAGGUAUGCUAAGCGAUUAGACUAAAAGAAAAUGCAGAGGCACAAGUUUGAUCUCAAGACUCAAUGGGUAAUCCAAAUAAUGCAAAAAUGCCGAACUAAAUUCAUAUGAGGUGAAGACUCGUGCUUCCAAGUCAACUAGAUUCCCAAUGAUUGAGAUACAUAGUUAUAAGGGUUAUCACGGUUUCAUUAUUUUUGAUAUAUAUAUAUAUAUAUAUAUAUAUAAGAUAUAAAAUAACUAUAAAAAGUAUUGGUGUUAUCAUUUUAUUAGUGUAUCUUUAAAAAAACCUUUUAUUUUAUAAUAUUUUUGUUAAUAUUGUGAGUCCAACACUAAUGUCAUAUUGAUAUUAAAGCGCUAAAAGUGUCUUUAGAUUCAAAACUAUGAUAAAAUUAUAUGCAAUUUAACAUUACAAGGGCGGUAGAGUUAUUAUUGCGGUUAAGAAAGAGGAAAAAAAUUGUAAAUCUCAAAUAUCUACGCGUCAUCAUUAUCUUUUUCUUCUUCAUUUUUUUCUUUUUUCAGACAGUGGUCCACCAUCUUUGAAAAAUUAUAGGCGCUUUCGAAUGGGUACUACAAAGCCAUGCAUUGGCAUUGAUGGUCCCAUCUUAAAGAGGAAUUAGAGGAAUUUUGGUGGCAGCAGUGGGUGUGUAACUUUUUUUUUUAAAUGAUUUAUCUCUAGGAAUACAUGAUCAAUUUGAAAGUGGAUUUUACAUAAAAUUUCUUUGCGAUUGCUUUUCAAUUGAUCAGUUUGAUUUGGUAAUGGAAUAAUGGUUUUGUUAUUAUGAGUUUGAAGGAUUAGAUGGUUUUGUUAUCAUUUACAUGUAAAAUAUUGAAAAUUAUUAGACUUCAUUUAAGAAAUUUGAUUAUAAGUCACAAAAUUAAUUAUCUAAAGGAUUAGAUACAAGAAAACAUAUUUUUUUGGGGCAAGUGGGUCAUUUUUUGUCAUAAAGCAAAAUAAUUAAAUACAACUUAUAUUAAAGCUACUUUAAUAGUUAAAAAAGAACUAAGUAAGAAAAAAAUAUAAGAAUGAUUUAAUUGAUUAAUUAUAUAAUUUUUUCUGUUGAUUUAUAUUUAUUAAAAAAAAAGUGUAUUUAUUACAAAUAUUUUUAGAAGUAGGAUGGAUUUACACAAUAGUAGGGUGGAAAUACCCUCACCCACAGGUUAAUUGGAUUUGGAUAGCGCUAGGUGGCAUUUUGGUGUCUCAUUGAAUUUUCUUGUUACCAGUUACUGCUGUGUUGCCGAUAUUUUUCAACUUGUAGUUGUAAGGCUUCUCAAGCAAAUUUUAUGGUAGCUUUCGAUAAUUUUAAGUGUUUAUUAAAUUUUUAACUACUGUAAUUUAAAAGGUACAGUUCAUAAGCAAUAAUACCAGAGAGAGGGAAUUAAAUAGAUUGAGAAUGAUUUUUGAUUCAGGGCGAGUUUUCGAGUGCUUUACGAACAAUCAAAAUGCUAAUCCUAUUAGCCAAUAAACACAAGCGCUUUGUAAAGAACAUUACGGGAAAAACCCUCUAUAUAAAUAACAAUCGUGUAAUUACGGAGGGCGUAUCUUAAUUACAUGGCAGUUACAUUCAAUAACAACAAUAUUACUUAAAAAAUUUCUAUUAGCAAUGAGUAUGUUGGAGGCAGGAUAGAAAAAAUCUGAAGACUUUGCAAACUUUUUGUGAAAAUGCAUCACAGUUGUCUUGUUCUUUCACUGUUGAUAAUCGCAAUACAAUGAAGGCCAAGAGACCCAAAGUGAAGUGGCCCAUGUGCUUUUCUAAUUACACCCUCCUACAAACUUUUUGCGGACUUUAUUAUCAAUUUUUUUAAAAAAAAAAUAAAUAUACAAAUAAAAAGACAAAAGAUGAGACUUAUAGUACCAGUGGCGGGUCCCCGGGUCCUCAACUUCUUCAAAUGGGCAUUUUAUCGAACAGUUGAUGUACUCGGAAUCUACACUUACACGAGGGUUCUAGGGAGUUGCAAGUGCUGCCGGCAUUUUUCAAAUAAUCAAGUGAUUAUUCAGUAAUAAUUAGCUUUGAUUUUUGAGUAAUAUAUGAGUAUGAUAAUCAAGUGAUUAUUGAGUAUAUAUGAUAGCCAAGUGAUUUUGGGCUCAAAUCUUUAAAUUAAAAUUGUGAUCAUUUUAUCAUUAAACUCCAAUUCUAUCUUGAUUAAUAAACAAAUAUUAGAAAGUAGUUGUUAAUAAAAUAUAAAAAAAAGUUUAAAAAAAUCAGGUUGGAUUUUUCAGGAAUAAAUCUUCAAGAAACUAAAUAUGCUUGGUCUAAUUGAAGUUAUUAUUAUUAAUUUUUUUUUUGAGAAUCUAAUUGAAGUUAUUAAAAUGUCAAAAUUAAACCUUUUUAAAUAUAUUAGGGAUUGUAAAGAGUUUCGGAUAUAAUUGAGGAUGAUGAGGUGAUAAAUUUAUGGAGGAAACCGCCAAAAUCUCUCUAUUUAUUUGCCAUGAUGUGAAUAACCAGAGCAACUAAUACUUCAAUUCUCAUCACUGUUGCAAUAGAGGUUUCAUGAAUUAUGAAUAAUUAGUGACGAUUGCGUAUUUAAGCCUAAUUAUCUUAAGAAUCUAUCGAUGAUUUAGGUUAGAAGUCCAUUAGUUAGUCUAGUACAUAAACUAAAGUUUAAUAUAUCUACAUAUAACUGAAUGAAUAUCUUAUGCAUUAUAUUCACUCCAUCAAGUAUGAAGUAUAUAUAUAAUUAAAAUGAUCUACAAGUACUAGGCGUACAAAAAUCGAAUGGUAAGAGUAGAAUAUAUAAGCAUCGGCAUUAUAUGACGGGAAAAGAGCUCAUUAAUAAAUUACACGAGUGAUAAUACUGCUUGAAUCAGGCUCACGUCCAAGGUUGAGAAGAGUUAAAUUAAGUAACUCUUCGAUGAUUUCUUGUGCGUAAAAUUAUAAAUUUAUAAUCAUCAAUAUAUCUCGAGACUUUGUAAAGUUACUGCGAAAAUGCAUCACAGUUGUACUUAUUAUCAUUUUUUUUCUGAUACCAGUGGCGUGGCCUCGUGGGUCCUCAAAUUAUUCAUAUGGGCAUUUCAUCGAACAGUUGAUAUACUCGGCAUCUGCACUUGGAGGACGCGUUCAAAAACUCUAAAUCAUGUUAAAGUCAACCAAAAAGACAAAUGGUUGUGUUAACGUGUACAUUUGGGUGGGAACAUCAAAUAUAAACAAAGACCAUGUGAAAAAGAAAACCAAAAAGCUAGAAAUAAAAAAAGGGAGCACAGUGAAAGAUCUGCAAAGAAGGGUUUCGGACAAGGACGAUUAUGAAUAGGGGACCAGAAGAUGUAUAAGGGAUUUCAGAGAAUUUGAGAGAAGUGGGAUGAUUAAGAAAAUGCAGGAGCAGGACAUUUAUGACCUCUAUUAGUAAUUUGAUUUCGUGAUGCAUUUUCAAAAAGAAAAUCAUGCAAACAAUUGGAGACUAGGUGAUGAUAAUGAAAUAUCACAUAACGUACUUAAUAAUUUAUAUGCAAUAAUGUGGAAUCGACAAUUCUGAAUCAUGUUAAAGUCAAGAAAAAGAUAAAACAUCAAACAUGGAAAGUGGCAAUUGCUGUAUUGCGUUGCGUGUAUUUUGGGAUCAUCAAAUACAAACAACUACCACGUUAAUGAUGCGUUUACUUCGUGGAAAGGAAAUAGAGUGGAAUGAGAAUGUGUUGAGAAUAAGAAUAAACUGGAAUGAGAAAGAGGAAUGCAAAUGGGAUUUUAAUAUUUAAUUGACAAAAAUAAAUGAGAAUGAGAAUAUGUUGGAAUGUUAUUGAUAUGCUUACUUGGCAAAAUAAAUGAGAAUGAUAAUCAAUUUUUCAAAAUACCUAUAGUAUUAAAUAAUAUAAUUUUCAUUAACUAGAUACAUGUAUAAAUUUUAUUAUAAAAAUGAUAUUAAUUAAAAACUAAAAUUAAUAAUAAUAAUAAAUGUUAAUAAUGAUAAUAUUAAUAAAAAUAAUAAUAACAAUAAUUAACAAUAACUAAAAUAAUAAAGUUAAUAAAAUUUAAUAAUAAUAAUAAUGAUAUUUAAAAUAAUAAAAUUACUAAAUUUUGAUAAUAAUAAUAAAUAAUAUUAAUAAUGAUAAUAUUAAUAAAAAUAAUAAGAAUUAUUAUUAUUAUAAUAACUAAAAUAAUAAAGUUAAUAAAAUUUAAUAAUAAUAAUAAUAAUUUGAACAAGGAUAAUUAGGAAAAUAUGAAAAAAUUAGAAAGAUACAAAAGUGAGUUCAGGGAAUUAGAAUCCUCAUUCCCAACCCCCAUGGGAUUAUUCCUAAAUUAUGUGGAAUCCACACAUUUAAUUCUCAUUCCCAAAUUAUAUUUUGUCAAGUAAACAUAAAUUUCAUUCUCAUUCUUUUAUUUCCAUUCUCUAAUCUCUCAAGUAAACACAUCAUAAAAAGGAAAAAACACAUCAUAAAAGAAGCAAAAGCUAAUGAGAUUGGUAAAGAUAUAUCAAAAGAAAGACUAAUAGAACUUUCCCAGCAGCAUUAAUCAUGAUUAUUUGAUAAGAUAGAGGUAAUAAAUGAUUAUAUUUUUGGUGGAAAACAGAACAGAGCACGUUACAAGAGCUGAUUGCUUUCUUUAUUUUUUGUUAAUAUUUAAACAAAAAUACAAGUCAAUGAAAAAAAUUGAAAAUAACGCACCAUCAAAUCAACCUUGGUGCAGAAAAAUAUUAACAUUUAAUGAACUUAGAGGGAUGAGUUGGGCUAAGUCUUUAAAUCAGCUCUGUCGUGGAAUAUAACAGGAAGAUUAAAAGAAAAAUCAAUCAACUACAACUAGUAUAUAAUAUAAUGUUUUCACAUUUAAUUAAUUAGGAGACGGAUACACUAGCAAUCAGCAUUAAUCAAAAUUAUUUAAUAAACUAGUAUUUAUUGGAUACCUUGGUGCAAAACAGAGUGUUGAGAGAUAAAAAUUAGAGUACGUUUGGGAUUGGGCUACAGCUGUUGUGAAAAAAAAAAUUAUAAUUAUGAAAUAAAAGUUAGUAAUAUAUAGUAAAUAUAAAUUUUAAAUAAUAAUUUUGAUAAAAUUAUUAAAGAUAUAAUAUAUUUUUUAUUAUACAAGUGAAAAAUUAUAUUAACAUAGCUUCAAAGCUACAUCAGUUAGUGUUUAUCAAACACUUUAGUGCUGUAACUUUUAAACUAUAACUGCCCAACCUCAAUCUCAAAUGCACCCUUAAACUGGUGUCUUUCAGUCUUUGGCAGGUGCUUGGUGCUUAAUAAUUUUUCAUGACAAAAAAAUCGAUAAUUAGAAUGAUUAUAAGUUAAUUUAAUGCUGAAUUUCAUCAUUAACUGCUGAAAUACUCCGGAAAUCCAAAUACAUUUAACUAAACACAAAUUUAAUCAAAUCAUUGAACACGCAAUCUGAAAGCGGAUUCAAAAUAACUUUAAUAGAAAAGCCAAAAGCAGAACAAUCAACAAAGAAGCAGAAGAACCUCUCACCAAUGCCAUUUGACCCUUCAUAGAAAGAAAGAAAUCAAGCUCCAUGUAAUAUAACGCCUCACAAAUUACACAGAAAAAUGGCCGCAUUCCAUAUGAUGCAUAGAAUGUGGCCCGAAUCCUCUUCGUAAGUUUGGAAUUUCUGGAGAAAAAUACACAAUGAAGGUGAAAUCAGGAAAAUAAGGAUAGUGAUAUUUCGUGCAAUUUUCAUGUAAAUUGCAGGAAUUAGCCUCUAUUUGGUAAGUAGUACUGGAUGCCUAACUAUUAUUACUAUUACUAUUAUUUACAUGGAUGGGGUUGGGUAAGACAGGUUCAUCAUAAUUAACCAAACCCAACCCAACCCAAUUAUUAAUUGGAUUCAAAAAAAUUUACCUAAUAACCUCAUAAUAAUUCACUCAACCCAUCAAAAUUUGAUUAGAUUAGAUUGAGUUGGAUUGUGUUCAUCGGGUUGGAUUGAGUUUGGCUACCCCUAACUCUUGGCCCAUAUUAUUUAUUUUUAUUAUUUGGUAAUUUUAUUCAACCAAUAAAUUUAAAUUUCAUCAAUAUAUAUAAAAUAAGUUUAUACAAGAGCUUUUAACUCUAUCUGUUGUUUGUGAAAGCAAUUCCAGAAAACCAAAACGGCAGAAGACUUUGUGUUUAGAAGCUGGAAACACUUAAACUCAAACGGCACAAGAUCCUGCGUUUUGAUGAGUAAAAGAAAUGCACUUUUGAACGACGUAUGGGUUUGUCGUUUAGAUUUAAGUGAUUCACGCGUAUAUCACGUGCUUGAGUUCAGCUUUGCAAAGUUCGUUAUAUGUCGUUAGAAGCACGAAGAACUCACGUGAGGUGCUGGGGAUUUUCUGGGUUUGUUAGCUAAAGCUGUUAUGGAACAGCUGAUGUGGAAGCAACGGAUUAGAGAGCAGAGAGAGCUAAAGAGAGAGAAGGGAACUGGUUAUAUAAGCUAGUUGUGAUCUGUCUUUGAGAAGCUAAGCAUUUACUCUGUAAUUCAUCUGAAGGAAAUCAAUAAAGCUGUGUUCUUUCCCUCCCGUGGAUGUAAGCUAGAGAAAUCUAGCUGAACCACGUUAAGAUUCUUUGUUCUUUCUUUACAUUACUUUCUUUUGUUUCUUUAGACCAUUUUGUUGACCAUUUAAGUUCCAUAGAUUUCAUCUUAGUCGUAGCUUUUCGGUAAACCAUCUUGUUGCAUCUUGUUCUGUUGGCUGGAGAUCUUGGGGCAGAGUCUUGGGUUGCUCUAUCAGUCAUUAGCACCUGAGAUUCUACAAUUGAUAUCAGAGCUGGAUCUACAACCAAUGACAAGUAUGGUUUCAACCAAGAUCGAUCUUGAGAAGUUUACUGGUAAGAAUGAUUUCAACAUGUGGAAGGUGAAGAUGGAGGCCUUGCUGAUAACACAGGGGCUAGGAGAUGCACUCGAACCUGUCACCAAGAGGGAAAGGAAAGAAGAAUCAUCCUCCAAGACACCUGAAAUGACUGCCGAGAUAGACAAGAAAGCCAGAAGCACUAUCAUAUUGAGCCUUGGUGACUCAGUGAUAAGGGAGGUUGCCAAGGAGAAGACUGUUGCAGACCUAUGGGCAAAAUUAGAAAAGAUUUACAUGACUAAAUCUUUGGCUAAUAGGUUGUAUAUCAAAAGAAGGAUGUUCACACUGAAGAUGGCAGAAGGGUCCUCUCUGGAUGAUCAUAUCGAUGAAUUUAAUCAAGUUUGUGACACACUUGAAACCAUUGAUGAGGGGCUGGAUGAUGAAGGAAAGGCAUUGCUUCUGGUGAGCUCUCUACCUCAGUCUUAUUCAAAUUUUGUUGAUGCCCUUAUGUAUGGAAGAUCAACCUUAUCAUUAGAUGAGGUUAAGGCUGCCUUAAAUACUAGAGGGCUACAAGAAAAAUCUGGAAAUAUGAUGCAUGCUGAAGGGUUAUCAGUAAAGGGUAAAUCUAACAAGAAUGAUGGGAAGAAAAAGAAACAAAAGCAAGAAAAGUCUAAAUCACAAAACAAAAAGUGCUUCCAUUGUCACAAAGAAGGCCACUUUAAGAGAGACUGUCAAGAACUGAAGAACAAAAGCAAGGAAAGAAAUGGUGAUGCAGCUACAGUAGAGGAAGAAGGUUAUGAAUCUUCUGGUGUAUGUGUGGCUACAGAGGAUCUCCAGAGAGGUAAAUGGAUACUAGAUUCUGGUUGCACCUUUCAUAUGUGCCCAUUUAAAACUUACUUCUCUGAUUAUCAUGAUUUAGAUGGGGGAAAAGUAAUGAUGGGUAACAAUGCUGUAUGUAUAGUCAUAGGCAUGGGAAAUGUGAGUCUUAGGCUUCAUGAUGGGACAAUAUAGGAACUUAGAGAGGUCAGAUAUGUUCCUGAUUUAAAAAGGAACUUAAUCUCACUAGGUUUGAUUGAUCAGAAUGGGUUUAGUAUUAAGCUUGAAUCUGGUAGGUUGCUAAUCAUGAAGGGCUCUAAGAUAGUAAUGAAAGGGUUUAAAAUGAAUGGAGUAUAUGUCCUAGAUGGUGAGGCAAUUACAGGGAUAACAUAUGUGAUUGUUGGCACUGGUAGGGAAAGCACCAGGUUGUGGCACCUAAGAUUGGGGCAUAUGAGUAUUAAGGGGUUAAAAGAGCUUGAGAAACAAGGAGUUCUGGGGAAGGAUAAGAUAGAAGAGCUAGAUUUUUGUGAGGAUUGUGUAUAUGGAAAGUCCACAAGGCACAGUUUCAAAAACUCAACCAGCAAAUCUAUUGGCAUCCUAGACUACAUACACUCUGAUCUCUGGGGACCUGCACAGACAAGCUCAUUAGGUGGAAAUAGUUAUUUUUUGUCAAUAAUAGAUGAUUAUUCAAGAAGGGUUUGGGUCUAUGUACUGAAGCACAAAGAUCAGGUCUUUAACAAAUUCAAAGAAUGGAAAACCUUAGUUGAAAAUCAGACUGGAAAGAAGGUUAAGAAGUUAAGAACAGACAAUGGACUUGAGUUCUGCAAUCAGCAAUUUAACAGCUACUGUGCAAAUGAAGGGAUAGCAAGGCAUAAAACAGUGAGGUUAAGACCUCAGCAAAAUGGAUUGGCAGAAAGAAUGAACAGGACCUUGAUGGAUAAGGUGAGGUGCAUGCUGGUGCAAGCAAAGUUUCCAAAAAGUCUCUGGGCAGAAACAUUGUUAACAGCAAGUUAUCUGGUGAAUUUGAGUCCCUCUGCUGCUCUAGACUUUAAGACUCCAUUUGAAAUGUGGCAUAGGAAACCAGCAAGCUAUGUCAAUCUUAAAGUGUUUGGAUGCCCUGCUUAUGCACAUAUCAAUCAAGGAAAGUUAGCACCCAGGGCUCUUAAAGGUCAGUUCCUAGGCUAUCCUGAUGGAGUUAAAGGAUACAAACUAUGGUGCACUGAUCUAGAACCUCCAAGGUGCAUAAUAAGCAGAGAUGUGGCAUUCAAUGAGAAGGCUGUUUUGGAAAUCAGAAAGGAUGCUGAACUGAAAACUAAGAAACCUCAAGUGCAAGAAGACAUCCAAUUUGAGGUGGAGCAUCCUGAUUCAAAGAAAUCUGAGAGGGGGAGCAACUCAGAUCAAGACGGUGGAGAUGAAAAUGAAUGCAGUGACCCUCAACCACAAUCUCAAAAGCAGACUCAAGUACAAGGUUAUCAGUUGACAAAAAAUAGAGAAAAGAGACAAAUCAAACCACCACAGAGAUAUGGGUACGCUGAUCUGAUAGCAUAUGCACUAGCUGCUUCACACGAUAUUGAUGUAGAUGAGCCCAAGAAUUAUGCAGAGGCUAUUCAAAGCUCAAACAAAUCAGAUUGGCAUGAGGCUAUGAAUGAUGAGAUAGCUUCUCUUAAGAAGAAUCACACCUGGAUACUGAUUGAGAAACCUGGUAACAGAAGGACAGUGGGUUGCAAGUGGGUUUUCAGAGUCAAGGAAGGCCUCACAGCUAGUGAACCUAAAAGGUACAAAGCUAGGCUAGUAGCAAAGGGGUAUACUCAAAGGGAAUGAGUUGACUUUAAAGAGGUAUUCUCCCCUGUGGUCAGGCAUGCAUCCAUCAGGGUGUUGUUUGCAAUGAAUGCAGUUCAUGACUUAUAGCUUGAUCAACUUGAUGUCAAGACUGCUUUCUUACAUGGAAGACUACAGGAAGAAAUCCUUAUGACUCAACCUGAGGGUUAUGUGGAUUCUGAGAAACCAAAUCAUGUCUGCUUGCUGAAAAGAUCACUGUAUGGGCUCAAGCAAUCUCCAAGGCAAUGGUAUCUCAGGUUUGAUGAGUUCAUGCUGUCACAUGGAUACCUAAGAUGCAGUUUUGAUUGCUGUGUAUAUUACAAGCUAAUAAGCACAAAUCUCUACAUAUACCUGUUACUAUAUGUAGAUGAUAUGUUGGUAGCCUGUAAAUCAAGAGAAGAAAUUGAAGCUUUGAAGAAUUUGCUGAGCUCUGAAUUUGAGAUGAAAGAUUUGGGGUCAGCAAAGAAGAUACUGGGCAUGGAAAUCAAGAGGGAUAGAAGCAAAGGCAUUAUGUUUCUUUCUCAAGAGAAAUAUCUGAGGAGGGUACUGGAAACCUUUGGGAUGACCUCAUGUAAACCUGUGAUGACUCCAAUAGCAACACAUUUUAAGCUCUUCAGCCUGCAAUGUCCUAAAACAGAAGAAGAAAAGUUAGAGAUGGCUAAGAUUCCCUAUGCUAAUGCAGUUGGCUGCAUGAUGUAUGCUAUGGUUCUAACUAGACCUGAUAUCUCAUAUGCUCUAAGUGUAGUUAGCAGGUACAUGGUAUCUCCUGGUAAAGAACAUUAGAGAGCUGUAAAAUGGGUGCUGAGAUACCUAAGUGGAACCCUGAGCCAUGGGCUGAUUUAUGGCAAGUCAAGGAUCAAAUCUGAGGGGAUCAGUGGUUUUGUUGAUUCUGAUUUUGCAGGGGACUUAGACAGGAGAAGAUCUCUCACAGGGUAUUUGUACAUGCUGGAUGGUUGUUUGAUUAACUGGAAGGCAAGUCUUCAGCAUGUUGUUGCAUUAUCAACAACAGAAGCUGAGUAUACAGCAGCUGCAGAAGCAGUAAAGGAAGCCUUAUGGUUAAAAGGCUUGAUUUCUGAGCUAGGAAUGAGUCAGAAAAUAGUUGAUGUGUUCUGUGAUAGUUCAAGUGCCAUUUACUUGAGUAAAAACCCAGCUCACCAUGAGAAGACAAAGCACAUAGAUAUAAAGCUGCACUUCAUCAGAAAUGUAGUCUCCAUGGGUGUGGUCAGAAUGGUAAAGAUACAUACAGACAGAAAUCCUGCUGACAUGUUAACAAAAGUAGUCACUACAGCUAAGUUCAAGGCUUGCUUGGACAUAGCUGGUCUUGGUUGUUGGUAAUCCAUUCUGGAGAUGGAGGGGGAUACCAGGGAAGAUUUGUUUCAAGGUGGAGAAUUGUUGUUUGUGAAAGCAAAUCCAGAAAACUAAAACGGCAAAAGACUUUGCGUUUAAAAGCUGGAAACACUUAAACUCAAACGGCACAGGAUCCUGCGUUUUGAUGAGUAAAAGAAAUGCACUUCUGAACGACGUAUGGGUUUGUCGUUUAGAUUUAAGUGAUUCACGCGUAUAUCACGUGCUUGAGUUCAGCUUUGCAAAGUUCGUUAUAUGUCGUUAGAAGCACGAAGAACUCACACGUGAGGUGUUGGGGAUUUUCUGGGUUUGUUAGCUAAAGCUGUUAUGGAACAGCUGAUGUGGAAGCAACGGAUUGGAGAGCAGAGAGAGCUAAAGAGAGAGAAGGGAAUUGGUUAUAUAAGCUAGUUGUGAUCUGUCUUUGAGAAGUUAAGCAUUUACUCUGUAAUUCAUCUGAAGGAAAUCAAUAAAGCUGUGUUCUUUCCCUCCCGUGGAUGUAAGCUAGAGAAAUCUAGCUGAACCACGUUAAGAUUCUUUGUUCUUUCUUUACAUUACUUUCUUUUGUUUCUUUAGACCAUUUUGUUGACCAUUUAAGUUCCAUAGAUUUCAUCUUAGUCGUAGCUUUUCGGUAAACCAUCUUGCUGCAUCUUGUUCUGUUGGCUGGAGAUCUUGGGGCAGAGUCUUGGGUUGCUCUAUCAGUCAUUAGCACCUGAGAUUCUACACUAUCAUGACUCAUCAAACAAUGUUCGAUGAAAAUAAUAAAUAAAAUAUACAAAGGUAUCAUUAAAUCCAAAAGCAUCCAAUGUGUCAAAAAUUAUCCUAUCAUUUGAGAUAAAAAUAUUAAAAUAUUAUUUUCAAAAUCAAUAAUGAUGUAACCACAAACAUUUUUAUAUGAACUUGUGUAAACAAACUAAUGUGGCAUAAAGACAUUAGUUAAAAAGCGAUAACUAUUAUUUUUGUAAAUUAUGUGGGUCUAUAAUAGUUUUAUACAACCAAUCUUCUCAUGCAACAUCUAUAUGAAUUUUUUUUUACAAGGUGAUUGUGGCUCUAUAUAUCCAAGCCGUUGUUCAACUUCAAGAGGUUCAAAUUUUGUGAAAGAAGCCAAGAAGAGAUUUUACGCCAUUCAACAUGCCUAUUCUGCUGUUAACCUUACUAAAUUCCAAAAUUUUUAAUUCUUAUUUAUUUAUUUAUUAUGCAUGUAAUUUGUAGUAUACAAUAAGAAAUAAAAUUGUAAUCCUUUUUAUAAUGAUGGAUAAUUAUCGGAUUCACGAGAUGUUGUUUUCCUUCUUCUCUCUUCAAGUUCUAUUUGUUGCCAACAAGAGGUUCUUGUACUAUGUAGGAGUCUAUGAUAGUGAUGAUGAAUAAAAUAAUAUGAGCUCCAAUUUUGUGUGUGUGUGUGUCUCUCUCUCUCUCUCUAUUUAUAUAUAUUGAUUUCAUUUCAUCUUUAACUUUUUAAUGCGCUUUUGUUGCUUUGAAGAUACAGCAAAAUUAACUCCUACAAGAAGGGGGGAGGGGGGAACGGGGGAGGAUUUUAUUACAUGAGACUUUUUAGUUUUGUUUUGAGGGAAUGGGAGAUUUCUUGAAUGAAAUGGCUGUGAUGAUGAGCCAAACACAAACUAAUGUAAGCAUUCUUCAAUGCAUAUUUAUGUUUUCUACAGAAUAAUUUGAGAAUUGUGUUUGGAAAUUCCUAGGCAUUAUUUAGCUUUUUCCAAGAUUUAGUUAUGGCUUUUACUUUGCUGGUUGGCAAAAGAAUGACGGUAUUUUGAUUUCUCCUAAUCAGAUUGCAAAUGGGUCACUUAGUCACAAGGGCAACAUAUUUUAAUCUGUUUUUAUUUUUAUCCUCAGUGUGUUCAUGCUCUGAAAAGUAGUGAUUCAUGAUGCCUAGUUUUGGUCUUGUUCAAUGGGCAAUUACAUAUAAGUUCUAUUGUUGGAAAAUUGAUUGGUGAAGCAGACAUGCAACUAAAGUGAAAUUGAAAAAUAAUGAGACAACAGAAUCACACAGGGACAUCAAGAUUUAUGUGGUUCAGCUUUUAAUCUAGAUUCAUGGGCGAAAACAUAAGAAAAAUAUUUUUCUAGUGAUAUGAGAAUUACAAAUAUUAUAAUAUUUUGGCUCACUACCAAAAUUUCAAUACACCCAAUCUCUCUUAUUGCCCAUUGUAUAUUAUCAGACUCCCUUUUGUUGCAAUCUUGUGAUUGAGCAGGUCUCAAGAUUCUGACCUUUUUCACCCCGCUUUCUGACAGAAGAAUUUGCCUAUCAUUGUCAAGUAAUUGGCAAUUAGCCACCAUCUGCUCUAUUCAUUAUGAAGGCAUUGUAUAUUUAUUAUUUUCUUGCAAAUUUUGAUGCAUUUUCACUUCUUCUGCUUCUUUCAUUCAUUUGCUGGGCUUUUGAGUUUUGUAUUUCAUAUUUUAAAUAGUGAACAACAGAAUAAUCCCUAAAUUAUGGUCUGCUGGGAGCCUGGUUAUUUGGGUAGACUAUGGCACAAGAAAAUGAAGAGAAGAAGGAAGAUGGGAAUGCUGGGGAAGCCUCAACCGAAGCAAAAUCAUCUGAAAAUAAAAUCCAUAAAUCAUUGAAGGCCAGAUCUAAAAUUGCAAAGAAGUCACCAGUUAAUGACUUUGAAAGAACUUUAAGUAUUUAUGUUUGGCAAGCGAGAAAGCUAAAAGAGAAUGAAAGAAAAUACAUAAAUGAACAACUUGAUAAUAUUCUUAUUAUUAGAUCUGAACGGAUUACACAAUUAUUUAUAUGUAAAGAGAGCAGCUUGUUACAUUUGUUAGUAAUCUGUUACACACAUAUGAAGAAUGCUUAAUCAGAGUAACUAACUAAGCCACGUCACCAAGCCACAUCAGCUGAGGGAGUGAAUCUGCUGCAGUCAAGUACAGCUGAAUAAACUACACUCGAUUCCUCUGUUCUUCAUAUUAAGCAGCUUCACUAACAUCCUCUCUUAAACUGAAGCUUCUUUUCUGUUCUCUACAAAUCAUCAGCUUCACUAACAUCCCCUCUUGAGCUGAGCCUUCUAGGAUGAACAUUUAACUUGCUACGCAAAUAAUGAAACUGAGUGAAAGUGAGAGCUUUAGUUAAGACAUCAGCUGUUUGAUCUGCACUAGGCACAAAACAAACAGUUAACUCUUUAGAUGCCACUUUAUCUCUGAUGAAAUGAAUGUCCAGCUCAACAUGCUUUGUUUUAGCAUGAUAAACUGGAUUGUAAGCCAAUGCUAUUGCACCCUGAUUAUCACACCAUAUAAUUGGUGUAGCACUUAACUCAAUUUUCAGCUCAGCAAGCAAAGACUGUAUCCAAAUGACCUCUGCUGCAGCAUGAGCCAAAGCUCUAUACUCAGCUUCUGUACUGGAUCUUGAGACAACUGCUUGUUUCUUAGAAGACCAUGAAACUAGAUUAGCACCUAGAUAAACUCCAAAACCAGCAACUGACUUCCUAUCAUCUCGAUCACAAGCCCAGUCUGAAUCAGUAAAACAAUUUAUCUGCAUAGCUCCACAGUUGUAGAACUGCAGACCAAAAUGUAUUGUGCCUUUUAGAUAUCUUAACAACCUCUUACAACCUUCCCAAUGUGCAGUUCUUGGAUUGGAAAGAAACUGGCUGAGGUUAUUGACAGUGAAGGCUAUUUCUGGUCUAGUAAGAGUAACAUACUGCAGGGCUCCAAUAAUGCUUCUAUAUUGAGAGAUGUUGGAAAUCUCAGAACCUGAAGCUUUGGUUAGCUGCUGGCCUGUGGACAUAGGUGUGGGCACUGGACUGCAGGUGACUAAAUCAUGCUUUUGCCAAAACAUCAGCAAUGUAUUUAGCCUGAGACAAGUGAAUUCCAUUUUGAAUUUUAGAAACUUCAAUGCCUAAGAAGUAACUGAGUUCUCCUAGAUCUUUCAAGGCAAAAGUCUGUUGCAUAUCUUGAAUGACUUGCUGAAUUUUUGCUGAGCAGGAACCAGUGACAAUAAUGUCAUCCACAUACACCAAAACCAGAAUUAAGUGACCAUUUUCUUUCUUAUAAAAGAGUGAAUUAUCUUACUUGGAGUUCUGAAAAUGCCACUGAGAAAGCAUAGUUGUUUUAAGUCUAGCAAACCAAGCUCUUGGAGCUUGUUUCAAACCAAGCUCUUAGAGCUUGUUUCAAACCAAGCUCUUGGAGCUUGUUUCAAACCAUAGAGAGCUUUCCUUAGUUUACAAAUGUGCUGAGAUUUAUGAGGAUCAAUAAAGCCUUCAGGUUGUGACAUAGACACUUCCUCAUCAAGAAUGCCAUUUAGGAAGGCAUUGUUUACAUCUAUUUGUCUAAGAGUCCAAUUGUUCAUUACUGCAAUGCUUAGAACUACCCUGACAGUAGAGGCUUUUACUACUGGACUAAAGGUUUCAGUAUAAUCAACACCAUGUGUCUGAUGGAAACCUUUAGCAACCAGCCUUGCUUUGUACUUCAGAACAGUUCCAUCAGGAUUGUAUUUGAUUCUGAAAACCCAUUUGUUACCAACUACCUUAACAGGAGUAGUAGGCAGAACCAAAUCCCAUGUAUGGUUAACCUUUAAGGCUUUAAACGCUUCUUGCAUAGCUUUGAACCAUAAUGGAUCAGAUAAAGCUUGAGAAACAGAGGUAGGCUCAGAGGUUUGUGCUAAAAGGAUAGACAAAUAAGACUUUGGCUUGAAAAUACCAUUCUUUGAUCUGGUUGUCAUAGAAUGACCAAUAGAAUGAGGUGCAGGAAGAAUAUGAGGGGGAGAAUUAUGGGAACGAGAAGUAAAUGGUGAGGUAUCAGGUAUGACAGUAGUUGAGUGUGAUAAUGAGGUAUCAUGUGCAUGAAAACUUUGAGACAAUACCUGAUGAGAGUUGGAAACUGGAGAGACAGGAUCAGCUGCUGAAGUUACUGUUAAAAGAGCCUGGAAUUUGGUAACAGAAGAAGACUCAGGAACUGACUCAACUGAAGAAUUGAUUGGAACAACUUCUGUGACUGAUGAAAAAUCUAUACCAGGAACAUAAGGAAAAGAUUUUUCAUCAAAGACCACAUGAUUAGAAAUAUAGACCCUCUCAGAUGAAUGAAGACAUUUAUACCCCUUAUGAUGAGAGCUGUACCCAAUAAAAAGACACCUCUCAGUUCUGAACUCAAGUUUGUGUCUAUUAUAAGGUCUAAGAUAAGGAAAACAUGCACAGCCAAAAAUUCGAAGAGUAGAAUAAUUUGGUGUUUGAUGAAAAAGUUUCUGAUAUGGAGAGAUAUUAUUUAGAGUUGGUGUAGGAAGUCUGUUGAUCAAGAAGACUGCUGUAUGAAAAGCAUCCCACCAAAAAUGUAAGGGUAGAUGAGCUUGGGCAAGUAAGGUGAGACCAAUAUCAACAAUAUGCCUGUGUUUUCUCUCAAUUCUCCCAUUUUGAUGAUGGAUGUGAGGACAUGGAUGCCUAAAGUGUAUCCCUGAGUUAUUUAGAAGAGAUGAAAAAGACCUGAAUUCCCCACCCCAAUCUGUUUGAACAACCUUGAUGUUUCUUUGUAGAUGUUUUUCAAUAAAAAUUUUAAAAUUAACAAAGACAGGUAGGGCAUCAGAUUUUGCACUUAAUGGGAAAAUCCAAGUAAACCUGCUAAAAUCAUCAAGUAUGGACAUGUAAUAGGUGUAACAUUGGCUGGAAGCAACAUGAGAAGGUCCCCAAAGAUCUGCAUAAAGAAGUUGUAAUGGUGCUGUAGAGAUGGUUUUAACAGAAUUAAAAUGAAGCAUAUGGUUCUUCCCAAACUGACAGGCAUUACAGAAUUCUAACUCUUGAAUUUUAUUGAUAUCAGCAAACUUGUUACAUGAAUUCAGAACUGUUUUUAAUGUGUGAAUGGCAGGGUGCCCCAAUCUCUUAUGAAGAAGAUUUACAUCAAGAGAUUUUUCAGUCACAGCAGACAAACAAACUUUGACACUGCCCUGACAGGAAUUUGAACUAAGUUUCUCACAAGUUGACUGAGGAAGAUAAGCAAAAAGAGACUGAAACUUAUUUUGACUAAGAAUGACUUUAUUGACAGCAGCUGACUGAGUGACAGACUGAGGAUGGGAGGAUGAGCUAGGACUUUUGAUUUUAUAGAGGCCUCCUUUAGCAACUCCUUCAAGCAAGAUGAUCCCGGUGCUCCUGGCCUUAAUGAAACAAGAUGUGCCAACAAAUUCAAGUUUAACAUUGUUGUCAGCAAGCAGUUUAGAAACACUAAGCAAAUUUUUGGUAAUUUUUGGUACAUGUAAAACAUGAUUAAGAAGCAGUGAUUCAAAGGUGUAUGUAACAAGCUGAACUGAUCCAAUAUGUUCAAUAAGCAAUGCAUUUCCAUCACCAACCAAUAAUUGUUCAUUACCAAAAUAAGCUUUAAAAUUGACAAGCUUACCUAAAUCAUUUGUGAUAUGAUUUGUGGCUCCACUGUCAAUAUACCAUGAGGGAUCUUCAACAAUCUCAGGAUUUGCAGCACAGUGUGGCUGAGUUGGUGGAGCUGAAGUACUAGGCAUCCCAUUAGUGAAACCAGGAGCAUAUGGUGAGAAUCCAUUAGUGUAACCAGGAGUAAAGUUAUUAAACCCAGUGGGGUAGUUAAGAGGAGGAUAACCAGAGAUGAUAGCAGGAUCUGAGUAUGCCAUAUAAGCUUGAAAGGCAGCACCUCUUGGCACAUAAGAGUUUCCAAAAUUUGAUCCAAAAUGAGGACCAGGAAACAUUGAGCCCCUUCCAAAACCAUUAAAGGACCUGCCUCUACCAUAUUGACCUUUGAAAUUUCCUCUACCAAAAUUCUUCUUAGGCACAAAAGAAGGAUUAAACCUGUUCUUGCACCUAUUUGCUCCAUGUCCAGGAAUGAAGCAAAUUUGACAGACAACAUCUGAGAAAUUUCUUCCACCAGCAAAUUGAGAUCCAUUAUUAUUAAAACCACCAUUUGGAUUAUUAUCACCACCAAAAUUACCUCCAAAGUUUUUCUGAAAACCAUUGUUAUUUUUACCAGAAUAUGGACCUUUCUGAGCUACAUUUGCUGACAUGUGAUGCAUAACAUCACUAGCAAGUUUACCUUUCUUUUGUUUAAUUCUACUUUCAUGAUUUAGAAGCAACGAAUACAGAUCAUCUAAGGUAAUGGUUCCUUCUCUAGCUAGAACAACAGUUGUCAAAGACUCAUAAUCAGAAGAGUCAAGACCAGUCAACACAUGCAUAACAAAAUCAUUAAGCUCUACUGAUUUUCCUGCUAAGGCUAACGUAUCAGCUAUUCGUUUGAUUUUAGUAAGAUACUCAACCAUACUCAUAGAUCCUUUCUUAAUAGUUUGGAUUUGCAUUCUAAGAGUUUGAAUUCGAGCUUGAGACUGAGAAAUGAACAUACUGUUAAGUGAAUCCCAAAGCUGUUUUGAAGUAGUGCAGUCGAUCACAGUUGACAGCAAGCUUUGCUGAAUAGAUGAUAGCAUCCAGCUCAAGAGGAGUUGAUCCGAUUUCUCCCAGGCAAUGAAGUCAGGAUUUGCAGAUCGUAGCUCACUUACAUUUGAUGAUGAAGCUUCACCAGUGCUAGUAAAAGGAAGAAAUGGCUCUGGACAUUUCAAACCACCAUUGAUGAAACCUUCUAAUCCAUUUCCUUUGACUGAUGCUAAGACUUGUGUCCUCCACAGAAUAAAAUUGUUCUGAUCCAAUUUUACAGGUGUAACAAAGUUGUAAGAAGUAUUAGAUUGAAUCAUACUUGCCAUUGAUGGCUCUGAUACCAUGAAAGAACUUUAAGUAUUUAUGUUUGGCAAGCGAGAAAGCUAAAAGAGAAUGAAAGAAAAUACAGAAAUGAACAACUUGAUAAUAUUCUUAUUAUUAGAUCUGAACGGAUUACACAAUUAUUUAUAUGUAAAGAGAGCAGCUUGUUACAUUUGUUAGUAAUCUGUUACACACAUAUGAAGAAUGCUUAAUCAGAGUAACUAACUAAGCCACAUCACCAAGCCACAUCAGCUGAGGGAGUGAAUCUGCUGCAGUCAAGUACAGCUGAAUAAACUACACUCGAUUCCUCUGUUCUUCAUAUUAAGAAGCUUCACUAACAGACUUGAAGACCGAAAACGCCAAAGUUGCUACACAAGCUUGGCGUAGAUUCAGAAGGAAGAAGAACAAAAAUUUAUUAGAUGAGAAGAAUGAUAAUAACAGCAUUGAAGGAGAGAGUUCUAAGAAGCUAAAUUCAAGAGAAGGAAACCUAAAUGAGAUAAUAACAGCAUUGAAGGAGAGAGUUCUAAGAAGCUAAAUGCAAGGGAAGAAAACCUAAAUGAGAACCUUUCUAAAGAAAAGGACCCAAGACAAGCCAGCAGAAUCAAAAGGAAGCAAGAGGAGAUUGGUCGGUCCGAUAAGAAUCACCGGAAACAAAGAUGUGAAGAGGAGAUUGGUGGGGCAGAUAAAAAUCACUGGAACUAAAGAUGUGUAGAGAAGAUUCCUGUGUCAGACAAGAGUUCGAAGCAUCACAAGGACAAAGAGAAACAAGGAGACGCAGGAAAGAGCCAAGAGAAGGAAAUGAGAAAAGAUAAGCUUGAUGGUUUGAUGUUUAUGUGCAGCGAGAAGACCAAGCCAGAUCCCCUUCUUGAGGAGAGAAGACAUCACCUCAGGUUCCUACUCCGCUGCUAGACAGAGAGAACAUUAUUUGGUCGGAACUGAUCCCUUAAGAAGGGGAGAAACUGAUGAAGUUGAUAGGUUAUACUCAUUGUAUGCCACAAGUGCUUUAUCAAACUACAACAGGCAACACCCAUACGAAGGGCGCAAGCCAGAUUUGGUAGCUGCACCAGUAUCAUCAAGGUACUCCUUUUCCGGUCCAUCUAUGUGUUACCGAUGACAUUUUUACUAUUCAUCCUCUGUACUGUUUGUUUCUUCGUUAGCAAAUUUCUUUCUGUAUAUGAGUCUUAAUAAAAGUUUAAUUGUAGACAGCUUUUUUGCGUUGAAAGUAUAUUUUAAACCUGUCAAACCAAUUAGCUCUCUUGGGAAACUUUAUGACUUCAUAGAAAAUAUUUGUUGCAUUUUGUCACUGAUGGUCAGGCCAUAAAAUUAGUUGAAUGAUGGUGUCAAGCAGUUAGCAAUACAACUUUCUACCAAUGAUAUAACUCUUUUCAUUCUGUAUUUUGUUCGACACUUAAUUUGGUUCCAUUAUGUCAUAAUGUGUGCUUGCUUGAGUUGCAUGUUCAUGCACAAGAAUUUCCCAUCGCAGCGAGGGUUCCUAGGCUACUUUUAGAAGACCUGGAUUUGUCUUUAACUAGCAUAUGACUUUUUUUGAGUUGAAAAGCCUACUGUGAAAGUUACCUGCUCAAAGCAAAAAAAUUUGUUUCUGUGGGAGGAAAAUUAAAUUUUGGCGAAGUUUGCUUUGGGAAUUUUGAAGGUAACUUGAAAAUUUGUUACACAUAUUGAGUGAUUCAAGGUUUUUAAUACAUUUCUUGCAAGGAAUCGUUUUUGUUUGGCUUCUCAAACUGUGUUUCUAAUCCAAUAUCUUAACUAACUUCGGCUGCCAUUUUUUUUUUUAAUCUGGACAGAAAGCUAUUCACUGUUAUAAUGGAUUGUUAUUGGAAAUAAUCAAAUAAAGCCUAUGAAGAAUUAGAAUAAAAUCUAUAUUUUGUCUUUGUGAAGGGAAUAUUGGACAACCAAUCCACCGAUAUUUCUUUUUAUUAAAACCUAUACUUAUUAUAGCCUCAAUCAUUUCGAGACAUACCGGAGAAUUCUAAUUUAAAAAGUUGGUAAAUUUUAAUUCAUUCUCCCGAUAGAACAGCAAUCUUGAUUUUAUCACCUAAAAGAGUGAAAAUAUCAAUUUAGCCUUCAUUUUCAUUCAAUAAGGUGAGAGUAAAUUGAGGAUGCGGUGAUGGAUUUCUUUUUUUUUUUUUUUGGGGGGGGGGGUGGGGAAAUAAAAAAGAGAUGCAUGUUCUUUGUAUGGUCGAUAAUAGAGCCAAAGACUUAUCUCGAGCAUUGCCUUCUUAGGAUCAAAGUUGUGAGUUUAAGCCUUAGUUUCUUGGAAAUAAAUUGAAGACUAUCAUUAAUUGAGGGGUAAAUUGAAGUUUAUUCUAAAAUAUUAUAUGAAACAAUUUAAGCCUUUUACAAUUAUUAAUUGUCUGCUACAAUUUUUUUUUAUUCUAAAGUCUUUAAUACUCUUCUCAUAUUAAUAAUUAGCAGACAUUGUAAAUUUUCAUUAAACAUUUUAUUCUAACAUUUUUCCUCGAAAACGACAAUGGCAAGAUAAUUUGACCUAUCUUGACUGACUGAAUUUGGAUAACUUGUGUUCCACUCUCUCUUCUGCGUCAUUGUGCUAACGUUGCAAGGGAUUCGUCACGCCCACAGUUCUCAAAUUAAAGUUACAUUACAUUUACAUACGUUAAAGACUUUAUAUGAAUAUUCUCCAUCGUCUUUAUUGACCUUUUUUUUAUCUUUUUAUUUUUCCUUGCGUCGAAAGAAUCCUUCACUGAUUGGAAUAUCCAUGAGGACUGGUUGCAAUUGGAAGAGUUCCUGAAAUUCAUCUUUCAUUCGAUCUUAAAUACUUUCUCCGAACAAUUAGAAUACAUUAAGAUUUUAUGAACUUGCUUAGUAGAUCAUUCAACUACUUAAUUGGUGCUAUUAAUUAAUUGAUUAUCUUCCCAGAAACACAUUAAAGACUCUCACCGGGAUUCAUUAAAUCUUUUUGCUGGGUCAAUUCUACCAGCUUUAGACGUAAAAGCUUCGUGAUAAGAGCACAAGCAUAUCGUCUUCAAAAGCUCCUUAAAAAAGCUAGCCAUUUUCUUUAUUGUCAUUUCCAUCCAUUUUAACCCCCUCUUUUUCAUUUUGUACAACUUUGACUUGACUCUGAAAUAGAGAAAUUUAAUAGAAUGUUUAGAAAUAAAAUAAAAUUAGCGUGGAUUUAUCUUGCACUAGUUUUACUCUAUUGAUGUCAAUGAUGUUUUAGGGGGGCAAAAAACUUCAUUAAUUUUACCUUUGUUUGAUGAUGAGGUAAAAUAUGAUUUUUUUUUUUAACUUUUAAAAGAUUUUUUCAAAUGAUUUUCAAGUUGAUUUAUUUGGUUGGACUGUAAAAUAGGUUUGGGCUUAGCCCACCCCUAAUUCCUUUUCUUUUUCUUUUUUUUUCAGUUUACCAUAAAAAGAAUAGGUGUGUUGCAAGUGAGAUAUGGAUAAAGAAUAUAACUAUUUCUUCGUUGGAAAUUUGAAUAAAGAGAUAGAAAAAUUGGUAAACGAGUAAGAACUAAUUUACGGGAAGGAUAAGUGGAUAAGAUUAGUGCUGGAGCCGUCAUGGAUUCAUUGCUAUGCAGAAUUAAAAAUUCAAGCUUAAACGGUUUUGGUGAAGUUUCUAUAUUGAAAUUCAUGUUAAUUAAUCAUUCAUACUUUAAUGAAAGUAUUAAUAGCAGCCGUGUAACUCACAUACACGUGCUUGCAUGCAUGCGUGUGCGCGUGUGCCAAGAGACGAACAAAUAUAUGAUGAAUAGAGAUUUCGGGACCUAUAGACUUCAAAUUAAUGGUGAAACAUCUUUGCAAAUUAAACUGAGAAAAAUUGAAAAGUAUGUUUAUCAUUUUAUGCACGGAAUUCCAUGUCCAUGCAUGCAUCUACCCAACAAAUGCACUUGUAAUUAAGUAUGCAUAUGGUACAUCACUAAAUGUUGUCUUGGAAAAGUCUCCAUUGAUAUAACUCAUGACAUGUCAUUGUACGUACACGCACAACGAAUAGUCAAUAAUGUCCCUGUAGUUUACGUACCCAUGGAGGAGUCAAUAUAUUUUUAGAAAUUUACUCAAAAAAAUCUACAUUAUAUAUAUUUUUUUUCUAUUUUUUAAUUAUUUUCUAUCUUUCACCUGCUAUAUGUUAAAUAAGUUUGAAUUUUAAACUUUAUCAUAUAGAAUUUAGCUUUGAAAAUUUAUGUCCAACAACUAAUUAAGAAAGUAAGUAAAGAGAUGCUUAAUUUAGAUAAUCUUUUAAAAUAUAAUAUUGACCAAACUUGAUAAUUGACUCAAACUAUGGGGAUUAAAACCAUAUUUACCUAUUUAACAAAUUUUAAAAUUAUUUUUGUUUGAGGAAAUACCUCGACGAGACCAGGCGUGAUGAGCAGAUGCUUGAUGGCAGAGUUCUGCGAACAGGUGAGUCCUGUAAGAGCCAGGUAGCAGGGGAACAAGAGCAGAAAUACUCUGCUCGUCCACGAAUAUGACAUUUAUGGGGUGAAACUCCUGGUAGAGGCAUGAGGCCAUUCCUGCUAGAGGUUGAAAGGCGAGGAGACCCGGUCAGCGACAGUUGGCAAGACGUGUAUUCCAAUCCGAGAAUCAAGGCACGAAGUCCAUUCUCAUUCGCCCACAACGGCGAUAAUGGGGCGUCCACACCCGAGAGUGCAGAGAAUAAUGGACGUGGACUACGGAAGACGGCGGUUGAGAGGAAACCUAUAAAAAGGUAGCCAACGAAGGUAAAAGGGUUAGCAAUUUUGAUAUUAUAAGAGAGAUAAAGAGAAUUCCUAAGAAUAGAAACUAGAGAAAAGCCAUAAGAUUUGUGGCAAACGUUCCCAGAACCUUCACAUCUGACUUGGGCGUCGGAGGGUUUUCGCCGGGAAAACAACCGGCGUGCUCUGACUUGUUUCUGUGGACGCAGGCAUACUUGGAGAAGAAAGCAUACGAGGAGAGAUUUUGAUCGAGGUGAGGUUGAUCGAGCAGAUAUCCUGGUCGUGAGGAGAGCGUAACCAGAAUCUUGCAUCAAUAAUUUUUAAAAAAGAUGUAGAUUUAUUUCUUUCUUUAUUGAUAAAAUUAUGAAAUAAUGAAGUAAUAUUCAUAUUGUGCUGAGAACAACUUCUUGGUUUAGCGAUGGUCUUACAUGUUGAGGGUUUGAAUCUUUUAUGCAUAUACGGUGUUAAUAGUAAUUAAAAGGGAGUGUGUAUACCACACGCCGGAGACCAAAAAGUGAUUUGUCAAAUCCUCGAACUGAAUGACGAGCCAAAAGUGGAUUUGAAUGACUUUUUCUAUUUUCUACAUACUCCGCAUCAGUCGUUGUGACGACGUAAUUACGAAAACAACUCGAAGCUGGCCAAAGACGACGGGCAAGCUGAGAACAUAUUCGUAGGCAUUUUCCCUUCAUUUACACCAAAUAAUCUAAAAUGUUAUUUUGAUUAUUACUUUUUUCCAGCAUUUUUAUCAACUUGAAUUACAUUUUUUCCAGCAUUUUUUGGUCGAACGAACCAUUUUACUUGGAAUCAUAAUGAGUCGUUGCAAGGAAAAUGUUAUUUUGAUUAUUACUUUGUUUAUUAUUCUUGUUUGCGGUAUUUUCAUUUGAGAGAGAUACAAGUCUCAAAGGAAUGUCGGAUUCUGUGCUCACAUGAUGAGCUAUAUAAUAUAUGUUGGUUUUACUUAAGGUUGUUGUAAUUAGUAGUUUUUUUUUUAAAAUAAAAUAAUACUAGCACAACUCUAAUAAA